rnacentral:lncRNA from 1 species
UUUUCUUUUUUUUUUGUUCAUGGGGUACCAUUUUUGGUCCACUUUUAUGUGAUUUUUUUUUAUGCAUAAAAAUUGUCAAUGUUGUUAUUUAAUAAUCUAUGAAGUCCUUGAAUCUUCAACAUAUCUAUGAUGAUCAAGGCUAUUGUUUAAUAAUUAAUCUCUAUUAAUUGUCAAUUUAGAGCAAGUCAUAUUCAAAUAUAUCAUCUUUGAAAAAAAAAUCAAAUAUAUCCAAUAUAGAGUGAAUAAUGUUGUCAUAUUCAUUUAGGAUCCAACUAAUUAAAAAUUGUUGAGGGAAUUGGAAAGUGACAAUGUAAUAUAAUGAGCUAAUUACUAUGUAAUUUGACCAAACCCAUGUCUUUAAAUUAAAGUUAUGAGGCAUAACAAACAAGGGAAAAGGAUCAUUAUUGUCCCUUCAUUUGAUUUUAAGUUAUAUAAAAAAAUGAAUUAUAUAAGUUAUAUCCGAUGUCGUUGAUCCUAUAUUUUCAAUUUCGUGUUUAAAAAUGGCAUUCCUAAACUUUCAAUUUUGAAUUUAAUUAUUAGCAUGUGAAAACUCAAGUACGAUCUCGUUUUAAAAGUUAGUUUUGAAUGGGUUCGUGUAGGUUUAAUUUUCAAAACCUAAAAAAUCAAAAACGAAAAUAUUACUAAAUGAAAUCUUAAUCUACAUUUUACUACGGUUUUAAAAAGUCAAAUCCAAUUUUAAAAAUGAAGGAAAUAGACUUUAUUAUAAAAAAAAAUCAAAUGAUUAUAAAAAAAAGGUUUAAUUCACUAUCCAAUAAAAAUAUUUUGUUUUUAUAGUAUAGAAUUGAGAAAAACAUAACAUAAUAUUUGGAGAAAAACAACAUAAUAUUUGAAAACCUAAAAGAACUAAAAGGUAAUUUUUUACCAAGCAGAUCCCAUGGAAACUCUAAACUUUAAAUAUGAGUUUAGCUUAAUUGAUAUUUAUAUGUUUUUUAGAACAAGGGGUUCCGGUUUCAAAUAUCUCUCCUCCAACUUGCACUCAAAAAGAUCUUUUCAAGAAAAAAAACCUCUAAACUUUCUAAUUUGUAUUUAUUAAAUGGAUUGUUACACAUAUAACAAUUAGAUUCAAAAUAAUUAAAUAUAUAGCAAUAUUUUAAUUUUUUUGUAAAUAUAGGAAAAUCGACCAUAAAAAUAUAUUAAGGAUGAAAUAUAUUUUAUAAGUGAGUCAAUUUAGCCUAUCAAUUUAAAUUUUAUUAUCUAUAAAAUCUUUUAAAAAAUUGCAAAACUUUUAAUUUAAUAUUUGAAACAAUUUUUUUUUAAAAAAAAAUGCUAUAAUCAAAUCUUCUUGUCCUCUAAAUUUAUUCUAUACUCAUUUAGAAGAUAAAAUUUUAAAUUUAUUCAUAUAAUUUUAAGUUGAUUUAAAAAGUUAUGAAUCAAUUACAAGAUAUAUUAUUUGUUCUUGAAACAUAGGAGACAAUGAAACUUCAUCAACUCAAUAAAUUAUUUUGUAAAUUCAAUAUUUCAAACCACACCUUAAUAAAAUAUAAAAGGAAUGAUAUUGAUUUUUCCUUUUUUCUUUUUUUUUUUCACUUUUGUGAACAUGAUAUGAUCACCAUAAACAUAUGGAGUUAAUGUCAAAAAUAUUUAGAGAAAAAAUUUACUAUUGAGAGUCUAGAAAUUCUUUUGAUUUCUAUUAAAGAAAAGCUCUAUUUUUCUUAUAAAGAAUAUAAUUGAUAGAGAGAACUAAUGUAAUACUAUAAUUUAUUUAAAUUGGGGAAAUUUUUCUUCAUCACUAAUCUAAAUAAUUUUAUGAAUUUACUAUUUUUUCAUAACAUUUUAAAAAAUUCCCUAUACCCAAUAGUUUAAUAAUUUCACAAAAUUGAGAGUUGUAAUAUAUUUUUACAUCAUCAAUAUUUUUCUCCUCUUUUAGUUUGACAUCUUUAAUUUAAUUUUGUGGAUUUUAACACUGACUUAAUCAAUUUACUAUUUUGACUUUUACUUUUAAACCAUAAGAAUAACAAAACGUGGUUGAAUUGGUUUAUUAAAUAUAGUAAAAUAAACUGUACAUGUUAUAGCAAAAUUUUGAAUUCAGAAAUUGAUAGGUGUCUAUCAAUGUCACGGAUAGAAAAGCAGAUAGUGUUUAUAUAUCUAUUGUUUGAUAGAAUAUAAAAUAAUUUUGUUUAUGUUUUUGAUAUUUUGUCAAAUUUGUUAUUUUAUAAGUUUUAGAGAUAAUUAAGUUCACACCAUUAAAAAUUCAACCAAAAAUAAAUAUCUUUUUGACAAUAAGUAGAAAAAGAAAUUAUUAGAACUUAGAAUUUAUAGUUCAUGUAUGCACGAUGACUAUAUAUUCAACUUUUGACAAAAUUAUAAUAAAAGUAGGGGUGAAAGUAAUCAAACAUCUAAUUUCGAAGUUGACAGUAAAAGCAAUAUAUUAGUUUGAGUUGUGCCCGUGUUGGCGUCAAAACUCAUAUAUGGUGAGUAACUAAAGUUUUAUAUAUUUGAUUUGAUAGGUUACGAAUUUAUGAAAAUAGGAUCGGUUUGAAUUAAUUAGAGGAAAAUGUUGUUUCCAUUUAAAGUUUUUGAUAAAACUAUUUAAAAUAAACUUUAAAAGUAUUUCAAAAGGGAUUUUGAGUAGUUGUUCAAUUGCUUUAAUUUUUUUCAAAAUUAAACACAAAGAUAGGGUUAAAGUAAUGUCAAAUCAUCUCGUUAUCUAAAAUCAUUCCAUGCAUUUAAUGAAACUUAAUUAGUAUAGUGUAAUUAAUCAUGUGCCUUCAAACUUGACCCAAUUUAAUGUUUCAAACUAAAUGAAAUUUUAACUUUGCAAUAAUAUAACAAAUAUCAACCUUCAAAAACUCUUAUAAACUUCAAGUCUAUUAUUAGUUUCAUGAUUAGAUAUCGACAAAACCAAAUUACGAGACUACAAAAUUGAAAAUGAUACAUGAAAUAAGUUGAUAUUCAUAACUUGAUUGGGACAAAAGAACUAAGGUUACACCCUUUACGUUGGUCAGAAAAUCUUUCGAACUCGAACUCGAGUUACGUAUACUUAAAAAUAACCCUUCUUUGAAGAGAACCAUAUGAUAUCGCGCAUUAUUGCAUAGGAAGUCUGAGUUUUCUAAUUGAGACUCGAAUAGUUUCUGUCAAAGCUAAGUCGGAGUUUGGCCAAAUCGAUAUUGUAUUAUUUAACUUUUUGUCCAAUGGGUUUAGUGUUAAAGUAAAUUUUACUAAAAAGAUUCAUCAAAUGUGGGUGAAGGAUUAAUGAGAUGGAUGGAACUUAAGUUUCAAAGAAAGUAAUUGAAAGAUUAUUUAAAACCUCUCUCUCUCUUACUAAGGUUAUUGUGAUCAAUUAGUGCAUGCAUGCUUUAGACAAGUGGAUAGCUCAAACAUUCAACAAAUGGUGCUGUUUAAGCCAAUAGGUCAGAGUUCAUUAAUCAAACAAAAUUUGAAUCAAAUUCUUUCCUUCUCUUUCUGACAUGCAUUUUCGAAGAAAAUGGGAAAGAUCUCACUCACCUUGUUGCCAAUUAACACAUCUUGGAGGCAAAAAUGGAAUAAUCAAAGAGAAAGAUUGAAGGAGAAGAAUAGAAUAACACAUACGAUUUAUAGUGGUUCAGCUAUAUAUUGCUUACAUCCACUUCAAAGCAGCCAUGGAGCAUUUUAUUCAUGUUCUUCAGCAAGAGUUUUUCACAACGCAGAGAGAUUUUCAGAUGAGUUUUUCUAUAUAUAAACUUCCUUUUCACUUCAAGAUUUCAAUUUAUAGAUUAUUCCACGCAGAGGAUUAUCAAAGAAAGAUGCAAAUGAUAAUAGAAAGAACUAAUUAAUUUUCUAACAAACUAAUUACCAUUUUCUUGUUUCGUCUGUUUUUAGGUUAUCAAAAACAAGUGAUCAGCUUGAUAACAAGAAGAGUGAUGAGUAACCUCCUCAUAACAGAGUGGCUUUGGUUAAUUGGUAAGUAAUAAGAUUCACCCUAAACUUCUAUAGAUAUGUUUAAAAAUUUUGUUUAGGUCAGUGCUAUAUCAUUCAAGUUCCAAUCUUCAUUAUCUUUAAAAAGAAAAUAGAUAAUGUUGAAAUGUUUAGGAAAGUUCAAAUUGAAACUUUGAAAACUGUAUCAGUAUUUUUUUGAGGGAGCUGGCCCAGAAUUCGAGUGGAGACAUAUAUAUAUAUAUAUGACUCCUGACUUUGUCUGAGCCGAUCUUUCCCAAUCCAUGAACCUGAGCAUGAAGAUUUUUGUCCAACACAGGACAUUGAUCAGGCUCUUGAAAUAAUCCCUAUGAACUUAUGGAGAACCUGCACACGUUCAUGUAAGCUUGGUCUAGGCCUAUAUUAAAUCCAUCGGCCUAAUAGGGUAUUGAUGUUCUUGCAAAUCGCCGUUGGCCAUGAAGUGGUAUACAAGCAGUUUAUGAUUGUUAUCUGAGCAAUACCCGAGCAAUGCCAACAAAUAUGAAGAAUGAAAUGAAGCCGAGACUUAACAAUUCCAAUGUGUUAUAAUUAGCUAAUCAACAAUCAACUUCUAAAGCUCAAAUAAUUACAAGACCCAAAUGUUUAACGUCACAAUUUAUACAUUAAAAGAAUUCUAUUGUUUUAUUAUUUUGGAUAUAAUUUCAUUUCAAAUAUAGUUAAUUAAUUAAAACUAAUUUUAAAAAAUUAAUAUAUAUUUUUUAAUAAAUCAAUAAUAAACUAUUAAAAUUAAUAUUUACCUAACUUAUCAAUUAUGUAUAUUUUUACAUAAGUUAUUAAUUAAUUAGCCAAUAAUAUAUUAAAUAUGUUUAAUUGGUAAACUAAGAUUAAAUUAAAGGAAAUUGUCAAACAUAAAAAAUUUGACAAAAUUCUAUGGAAGGUAAUUAGUUUUUUUUUUCUAUUUUUGAAAGAAUUCCUAAAUUAAAUUUUGUGAGUACAAAAGUUUAUUUUUCAAUAAUAAUAAUAAUAAUAAUUGAUUGAUUUAUUAGGUUUUUUAAUAAUCAAGCAAUUAUAUCGUUUUAAUUCAUAUCACUUCAUUCAUUAAAAAUAUAUAAUAUUUAUAAAACUUGUUUUAGGUAUUCUUUAUUAAUAUAUCAUACUCUCAUCUCAUUUUCUUUUCAUUUUGUAUAUAAUAUAUUUUUAUAUUAUUUAAUUAAAAUUGAAACUACUAAUGAUAAACUUAAUUAGUUAUAAACAAUACUUGGUUAUUUUAAAUCACAAUUCUAAUUGUAAUUAAAACUAAAUCAAUCUUAUAAGGAGUUGAUUAUUAUAGUUAAAAAAAAGAAAGUUAAAAGUGUAAAUCUUGAAAUUUAUAGAUCAAAUUGAAACAACCAUCAAAUUUUAAUAAAAGAAAUUAUAAUAUUUAGAACAUAAGUAUUAAAUUGAAACAAAAAGUUUAAUUUUUUUCCUAACUAAAAAGGUUCCUCCGGGAUUCUUAGCACUAAGGUUAAAAGUUAAUACUUACAUCGGUUAAAAGUUAAUACCUACAAACAUUUAUAUCUUAACCAUGUGCAUCGGUUUGAUCAUAAGAACUUCAACUAAGUGUUGUUUGCGGUUGAAGGGGAUGCAUGGAAACGUGUUCGAAUCUUGGACUUAGGGAAACGUGUUCGAAUCUUGGACUUGGGGACGUUGUUGCAUUAAAUCCUAAAUAAACUGUCUUUAUUAGGGUUUGUGGGAAAAGAUAAAGACGAUUGAAACAAAAAAGAAAGAAGAGGACACAACACAAGUUGGGAUGGAAAUUGAUCUAAGGAUACUCAAUUUAUUUGGAUGUUAACAUGUGUGGUGCCAAAUCAUCUCACCAAAAACGUGACCUUAUAGAACUUUUUAACAACACACCCGAAGCCAAAGACUAUACUAAACUUUUUUCUCUUUUUCAAGUACUAAAUGAAUCUUUCUUCUAUAUAAUUUAAAUGAACAUUUUUUUAAAUAACAAAAUAAAUUAAAAUAUUUUUUUAGAAAUCAAUUUAAAAUUAAAAAUUAAACCCAAAAUUAAGAUCAUUGUUAUUUUAAUUCAUUUUACCAAACUCAGUUAAGAUUCUCAUAACUAUUUUUCACAUUUACGAACGCAAUCAUCGACCAAAGUCACCAAAAAUAUCGCUCUCAUUCCUCCUUAGCUAACAACAAUAUAUAUAAUCCCGAGGCUACGCUAUGCCCCAUUCAUUGGCUCUACUCUCCAUUCUUGAAGCCACACUCCCAUGGCUUUGCCUUCACUUCUCACUCCUCCGCCCGUCCCGGUGGAGCUUUACGUCACCAAUAGACAAAAGCUACUCAACUCCUUCCGUCAACACCUUUCCGACUCCUCCCGUCCUCUCCAGGGCAUUGUGUUGCUUCAGGUAAACGAACCUCUCUUCAACUCACUAUUCCAUUUUGUUCUGUCAUCCUGUUUGUUUGUUGAUUCAUUUCUGUAACUAUCCUUUCUCCAUUUCUUCGAUUGUGUUGAAAUUUUAGGGAGGUGAUGAACGGACGCGCUACGACACGGAUCAUCUCGAACUCUUCAGGUACUUCAUAUUACUUGUUGUAAUCAUCUAAUUUUAGGGAGUGUUACUUGAAAAUCUACAUCGAUUGCACGUUCUUUUUGGUUUUAAUUUAUUGUUUGAUUUUGUUUACAGGCAAGAGAGUUAUUUUGCUUAUCUGUUUGGAGUCAUAGAGCCUGGAUUUUAUGGUGCUAUCGUAAGUUAAUUACUUCAUGUAAUGGCUUGAUUUUGUAUUGUGUAUUAUUGAAAUUCAUUUUUAUAUGGAAGUUUGAUUAAUUGUAGAGAUUUUUUGGUAAAUGCUUGAUGAAAAUGAAGUUAUUCCGUUUACACUGUUGCUUUUGUAUUAUGAAAUUUGUAUAGGACAUUGCUAGUGGAAAGUCGAUUCUGUUUGCUCCCAAGCUACCUCCUGACUAUGCUGUCUGGUCGGGAGAAAUAAAGCCUUUGUCAUAUUUCAAGGUAGUGUAUGGUAACCAACACUUGGUGUAUUGCCGUGUUUAUGAGCUUAUUUUAGUUAAUAUGUUUUGUAGGAAAAAUAUGAUGUCAGUAUGGCAUAUUAUACCGAUGAAAUUGCAGCUGUUUUGCACAAACUAUACCCAGAAUUGGAGAAACCGUUACUAUUCCUCUUACGUGGGUUGAAUACUGAUAGCAACAAUUAUGCAGUACCAGCAAAUUUUGAGGUUCUUUUUCCAUCAAUUAUGCUUUAUCUAAUAUAUUUUUCCAAAUCUUAAAGUAUGACUUUUGGUUUCAUUGGAGUUUAUCGUCAGGGGCAUUACUACAUUGGCUGCCUCUCAGUGGGCCAUGGGCUUUCCAAUGGUCAUUCAUUAUGCUUAUAUUAUGUGUUUUUGCUUUUGGAAAAUAGGGGUGCUUGACUGUGUUUUCUACUUUUUCGUUCAGGGGAUCGAUACAUUUGUAACUGAUUUGAAUACCCUGCAUCCUAUUUUGACUGAAUGUCGUGUCUUCAAAUCGGAACUGGAGCUUGCUCUUAUUCAAUUUGCCAAUGAUAUUAGCUCAGAAGCUCAUGUUCAGGUAGAUUCUUUUCAAAUUGAUAAAGAUAUCCGCUUCCAUUAUAGAUCUCCAUGACUUGAAUAUUUGCAUUUAAGUGCUACGCUUAUGCUUUUAUUUUAAUAUCAAUAUUAUUAAUAAGUGAAGUUGAGUUUUGUUGACAACAUUAAAGAUCAAGCAUGUGUUUGUUCCAGGUUAUGAGAAAUGUCAAGGUGGGCAUGAAAGAAUAUCAACUGGAAAGUUUAUUUCUUCACCACACUUACAUGUAUGGUGGAUGUAGGCACUGCUCCUACACUUGCAUUUGUGCCACUGGAGAUAAUAGGCAAGUCUGCUAACAAUCAUCUACCUGUUUUUCCAAACUGCCCUAUGGUCAUUUAAGCUUUUAGUGCCUUUACUUGAUCUUGGUUGCAUGACUUUGUCAGUGGAGUUAUUUAUAUACUCUUUAGGGGAGGGGAAGCCGGGUUUUGGACUGGGGAUGAAGUUGUUCAAUUUGUUUAUUUCUGAAACUGAACUGAGAUUUGUGAGAGUGCUGCUUAUGUAUGGGUGAUAUUCUAUGUUCCAGUGCCGUUCUUCACUAUGGACAUGCAGCAGCUCCAAAUGACAGAGUAUGUUGAAUUAAAAUAAUGUUUUGCUUUGAUUUUCUGUUGGAUUCUUCAGUUUGUAAACUUAUUUGAUCAAUGUUUGUUUCCUAUAAAAAUAUAUAUAUGUAGACACUAAUGAUUCUAACUUCCUUAUUGAAUCUUUUGUGAAGCAUACUAAGUUGAAAUUAUUUUAAUGCAGACGUUGGAAGAUGGUGAUAUAGCUUUGUUUGAUAUGGGAGCAGAAUACCAGUUUUAUGGAUCUGACAUUACGUGUUCAUUUCCUGUGGGUGACAUUUACUUUAUGUUGUUCCAUUCUAAGUAAAGUUAUAAAUUUCUUCACGUUAUGCUUCUAUUGGAACCAAAGUACAAGAAAUUAUUUACAUUAUGUGUUUUGAAAAACUUUCAAAUCCUUCAUUUUGAAAUCUUGAAAAAUUCAACCAUUUUAGUUUGAAAAUUUUGUAGCAAACUUUGAAACUGGUUUCGAGUUCUAUUAUUUUAAUGGAUAACAAAUUAAUGAAUUCAUUUGACCCUUCUCUGUCCAAAACCCUAGCCACUGCACCACCAAGCCUCAAACUGCUGCUAAUGACUGCUUCCAACUACCCCACCCCUUGCCACAUUUAGUCACCGUUCCCAUCAUUUUUCAUUUGCCACACACCAGUCCUUUCUCUUUUCUGCUUUUCUUAUCUGUUUGGCCUAUGCUUUUCCUCCGAUUUGACUAUCAUUCCCAACCAUCUUUUACCGCUCCCGAUUGUUUUUAACCUCCUCUUUCCCAUCCAUCAAAUGCUGGCCCCAUCUUUUAUUUUCAGAACCCUAGCCACCCCUGUUAUGUCCCUUGGACCUACUCUUUCUGUUCCACCUGCUAGCUCCUGAUUUUUCCACCUCUCCUUUUCUUUGCCUAGCCAUCCCCAUUCUCCCACCUCAUUCUGCAUCUGCUCAAUUGUCAGCCAUAGUCUGCCAAAGCCUCUCCUAUUUCCAUGAAAACGAUGAGCUAUUGUAUUCAUAAUCUUUAUGUUUGGAUCUGGUAUGAAUAUGACAUGGAUUUUAUUGAAGGCAUGAAGAGCGAGCUCAAGAUUCCACUCUUUCUCUUAUUUGAUUUGGUGUGAAAAUUCUUUGAUCGAACUAUUGCAAAAUAUAGUUCACACUUUUUUUCAUAAGCAAGUGAGGGAUGUUUCCAAGACUCUUUGUUUGGCCAAGUUCAGAUUUCCCCAAUGAUGGAAACUCGAAUGUGUAGGUUGGCUACCUUUUGGAGGUAGAAAGAAAUUACAAGUACUUGUUGAUCUGGGAAAUAAUGAUAUAGAUUUCUCCUAAAAGUUUGAGAAAAAUCAGCAUUCAUUAAUUUUCCAAAUCAUGUUGUGGAAUGAGAAAUAUUCCAAGUCAAAGAUAAUCAACUCCUCAGAGGUUGGCAGGAGUGGUUCAAAAUAAGAGAUUAGAAGCUUCUACAUUUUGGGAGAGGAAAGAAAAAGUAGUGGAAUUGAACUUCAAUUCUAUCUUGGUGGUUUCUUUGGACACUGAUCUCUUUUCAUUAUUUCAAUGAGAACUCUCAUUUCUUGUUCACAUAAUAUAAAUGAAUUCAUUUGGAUUUAAAAUCACAGGGAAAAAAGAUCAUAACACAACCACUUUUCCAAGUGCAGCAUUUUAUUAUGCCUCCAAGUACACAUUUUUUAAAUCCUUUAGUUUAUAUCAUUCAUCCGUAAAAUAUAUUCAUCCUUGUUGCAGGUGAAUGGUAAAUUUACAAGUGACCAGUCGCUGAUAUAUAAUGUAAGUACCUCUUCAAAUUACUGUUCCCUUGGCAUAAGGAUUAGUUACCUUUUCUUUUUUUUUCCCCUUUGCUUUCCUAUUUUCUCUUUUAGACUUAUGGAUGUAAAUUUGUUGCCCUUUGUUGCAGGCUGUCCUCAAGGCUCAUGAUGCUGUUAUAUUAGUUAUGAAACCUGGAAUAAACUGGGUUGAAAUGCACAAGUAGGCUUUAUUUAGAUACCGUCUUGCUUUUUCUUUUGUGCAUAUAAGAUAGUUUGAGGAGUAAAUUGUAGAUAGUGAAGAAAAGAUCUAAAUGACUAUUUUUUUACUGAGAAUUUUGGAUACAUAAAUCUAGCUUGUCUACUUAUUGUGAUAGAUAAAAUUCCAUUGUGAUUAAACUUUUUCAUUCCUUAGAUUAGAUACAUACAUUUUUUGCUGGGUUGACUUAGUUGUUAUUAUUAUGUGAAAACGGUAAAGUAACUUCACUAAUUAAGAUGGUAAAGGCCUUCGAGUUUUUUGAAUAAGUAUAUGUUAUAAGGUCAAAUAAUUGGUCUUGUGAGGUUUGUUGAGCUCCUCGUAAGUAAAUGCAUAUGCAAAUUAACAUUAAAGAAACAAACAAACAAAUGUGGUUGCAUUUUAAAUGUGAUUUUACUUUCUGGGGCAUGCCUUAUUUUUUAGCCCGUCAUCAAAUUGACAUUGUUUUAACAUAUAAUUAUUAUCAUCUUGACAUUUUUAUUUAUGGUUCGUACAUCUUGUCAAUGUUUGUAAAAUGCUUUCUUAUUGAAAUUCUUUCUAAAUACCAGAUUAGCCGAGAAGAUUAUUCUUGAGUCAUUGAUUGAGGGUUCUGUGCUUGUCGGGUACAUUCUCCUCCUGACUUCACCCCAAUCCCUAUAUUUUCUUUUCCUUUAUGUUAGCAGUCUGCUUUCUAUUGGAAUUGGAGUAAGUUGUGAUAUACUUGUAUUUUUUGUAGAGAUGUAAUGGACAUGAUGGCUGCGCGUCUCGGGGCUGUUUUCAUGCCACACGGUUUGGGACAUUUCCUUGGUAUCGAUACUCAUGAUCCUGGAGGUUUCUUGCAGGUUCUAGUGGAUGAUUAGUUGCUUCAUGUUCUUUCUCUCUUCUUCACAUGUGUUCACACGCACACAAACAAAUACACAUACUUAAGAAAAAGAAGUGAAAAAACGGUUAAAAGGAGCACAUAGAAAAAAGAAAAGUAUGAAUGGUUUGCAAAUAGUUCUCUUUUGACUUAUACCGUCUAGCAUGUUUUUACAGGGUUUGGGAAGGCCGGAAGAACCGGGGCUAAGUUCUUUACGCACAGUUCGGGAUCUUAAAGAAGGAAUGGUUAGUUAUAGCCAUAGCUUUUGAUUUUCUUUUCCCUCAGUAAUCACAAGUCACCAUAAAAAAUGUUCCUUAGGUUACCUUUCGGUAUCAGUGUUGAGAGUGAGAUGCAAUUAUCUGAUACAACCUAAAUAUACUGAAUGAAAGAUCAACGGUAAUUGAAUUACAAGAUUAGCCACAUGGUCGACGUACUUGGAAGUUGGGCCUGUCCAAUCCUUAGAUCUCUUUCAAGUCCUAAAUCACCCACCAACAUAUUUUCUUCCUUUCCCCUUCCCCACUCCCUCUGUCUAUAACAAGGUACCAUAACAACUUCUCUUACUAAUUGCUAACUUUUCUUCAGUUGUAUAUAACUUAUUUGAGGAUAGGAUCUUUGGAACGGUGUAGUGAAAGAAGUUAUAGAAACGAAUAUUUUGCUUAAGAGCCAAUUUAGAGAAAGAGGCAUCCUAGCCAGAGGUUGAAGAAACUACGCUUUUUUUUUUCUUCUUUCUUUCUUUUUCCAUCUGUUUUUUUUAAAAAUGGAAGCAAGUCUCUUCAUUAAGUAAUGAAAUGAGACUAAUGCUCAAAGUACAAGAGAAAUAUACAAAGAGCUUUAAUCUCCAAGGGACCAAGAAACCGAAAAUCAAACGAGGUCCAAGAGCUUAACAAAGUCCAAACAAGGCAGAAAAACAACCAAAGCUGCUAUUAGAAUUGAAAUGCUGGGAAAGAAAACAAAAGUGUGCCAAAAAACCAUAACCAUGAUAAAAGUAAUCUUUGAAAUGCUUGAAGAAGAUACAUCUCAAGUGAAUGAAACGAAAGAGCUGCACUAUCUUGAAUACAACCAAGGAACAACUGAUGGUAAUCUUUUGCACUAUGUUACAUAAUUCGUUACUGUAUGAUUUCUAUGUUCACUUCUAAUCAUUGCUAGUAGAUGCUGGAACCAAGAAUCCCUUUGUGCAUUAUAUCUCAAAGAACAUUUUGUGAUUGAAGACUUAACAUCAUUAUGUGUCGAUUUCGUCUCAAAAUUGAUACAUUUGGUAGAUUGCAUUUUAGGUUUAGACAUUUCAUUUUCUUGCUAAUUUGCAGGUCAUCACUGUAGAGCCAGGAUGCUACUUCAUUGAUGCAUUACUAGACCCGGCCCUGAAGAAUAGUAAAACCUCCAAGUUUUUCAACGUAGAAGCAGUGAACAAAUUUAGAGGCUCCGGCGGUGUUCGAAUUGAAAGUGAUUUGGUACGCUAUGCAUUCUUCAUUCCUUAAACGUCUAAUUAUUACAAUUUGAUAUAUAGUAUGUUGUUUUCAUCCUUUUUUCAUUAGGCAAAGUAGUUAACCAUUUUCCUGCAAUCUUUCUUAAACUUAGAGUUCACUUCUUAGCUAGAUUCCAAAAACAUAAACAAUUUUCGAGCUUGACUUUGAUUUUUGAAAAAAAUUGGUAUAGAGUAGAAAACAUACAAGAAAUUUAGAGGUAGAAAACCGAAUAGUCAUCGUUGCCUUAGAAUUUUGUUUCGAUUUCUUGGGUUUGAUUGUACAUUCAAUUCAAUCUUGUUAUUUAAAAAAUCAAAUUUAGUUUAGCAUCAAUGUAUGAACAAUGAAAAUAAAAUUGCAUACCAUAGUCAAUGGCUAGAUAUACAAUAGUAGAUAUAUACAAAUCCUUCCGUAGCUACGUUUAUAGGAUCGGUUUUGGAGGUAAACUUUUCUGAAAAAAAGAAACAAUAUGCUAUGGUUUUAACCAUAAAAUGAUGCAAAAUACAUGAGUCUUUCUGUUUUGGGUUUUGCAGCUAGUCACUGCCAAUGGGUGCAGAAACAUGACCAAUUGUCCUCGAGAAACAUGGGAAAUAGAGGCAGUUAUGGCAGGAUCCCCAUGGCCGAUUGUAUCAAAAUCCAUCUCGAUCUAGUAGUCGUCUACCAUUAUUUAAGAGUGUUGUAUCGAAAAAUAUCAGUAUUUAUCUCUGCACACUCGAAUUAGUCGUUCUUCUCUUUUAGUUUUUAAAAUAAAUAAUUUGUCCUGAAUUUGAAUCUAAAAUAAAAGGACAUUUGACUCUAGGUUUUCCUUUUUAAUUUUAAGCUUUCGAUGAAUGACGGAGUCCCUGACUUAACUUUUAUUUCUAAAUCUGUCAAUGUUACAGAUUUGUAAUCUUAAGUCUAUGUUGAACUAUUUGCUAUGUUUAUACCGUCGUUUCAAAUUUAAGGCAGGUUUUGAUAAAGUUUUAAAUAAAUUAUUUUGUUUUUUUGUUUUUUUGUUUCUGUUUUUGAAACUUGUCUAUACACAUUACUUACUAUCCAAAUUUUGAAAACUAAAAAAGCUUUUAAAAGCUUGUUUUUGUUUUCUUAAGUUUAAUAUAUUGUGAUAAAAAUAAAUUUAAGUGAACACAAAAAAUCUCAUGAGAAAACUCUCAAUUAUUUUACCAAAAGUUUAAAUUUAAAAAUGAACUAGGAAUGAGUGUGAUAGACGGACACAGGGUUAUCAACUUAUACUCAUUGAUGGGUGAUGAGGGGUCAAUUUUGAACCUUUUCGGAUUAGAAAGUAACCUUGUCAAUGUAAUCAAUUACGACAUAAUGGCUACAACAUACAUAACCAAUUAAUGGCCACAACAUACAUGCCAAUGCUAAAAUAAUUUUAAAACCUAAUUACAAUUUAACUAAUGCUAAAAUAAUUUCAAAACCUAAUUACAAUUUAACUCUAUUGUUAUUAGAAAUAAAAUAAUUUAAUUUUAAAACCUAAUUACAAUUUAAUUUGUUAUUAGAAAGAUUUAGAUAAAAAACCUAAAUCUACCGUGAUUAUGUAAAUGAUAAUGUUCUAAAUUAUGACUUCGUAUAUUUUUAGAACGAUUAUUUUUAUCAUAAUUAUUAAUUACAAAUAACUUUCAAAAAUAAAUUCAAAAUAUUUCUUUAUUUAUAUUCUACACAAUUUAUAAUUUCCUUAAUUAUUAAUACAUAUAUAUUUGUAUUUACUAAUGGAAUAUUUAUUACAUUUGCAAUAAUUUAAAUAUGGUAUAAAUUAUUAUCCUACAUGGUAAUAAUAUUUUUUAAUUAUACUACAAAAUAAUUAAGUUUCAAGCACAAAACGAAAGUUUUUUUUUCUCUCGAUCAUCAAUUCCGUAUUUCAAAAAAUUGUUUCGUCUUUCUUUUCGAUUUGCUACAUAAUAUACAUUUAUUUUCUUUUGGUCAUGUUCUUUAUAUUUUAUUUAAUUUUUUAUUAUUCAAUUCAUCUACCUAUCAUGCUCAACAUAGAAUUUUUAUUAAAUAUUUCGUAAUUCUAAAUGAUAAAUUUAUAUUUUGUAAUUUGUCACAUACUUUUUCAUGUUUUGUGAUUUUUUCUUAAUGCAUUUAUAUAUCACUUGUAUACACAUGUUAUGUAUUCGAUCGAUAUUUUUUAUGUGAUUUGUUACGUAUAUUAAAUAAUAAUGUUAUCUUCAAUAUAUUCAGUAUAUUCCAAUGUAUUUCAAAUACGAAAUAUAAAUUCUUACUGACCCUAAAUUUUUGCCAAUUUUUUUUUCAAAAAUCAUUGUACCUCACCCUAUUAGAAGAAGGAACCUUUUACUAUAAUUACGUGAAAUAUAUGAAAAAUAGAUUGAAAAGUGGGAUAGAGAUCGAGAACAUUUUUUGAACAAAAUCACAAAAAUAAAAAUAAUUAAUUCAAUUUUUUAUUAUAAUUAAACACUUACCCUAUUUAUUUAAGAUAUUUAAUAAAUGCAAAUAUCAACACAAAUUCAUUUUUUUUAAUAUUAUUAAUAAUAAUGAUGGGUAAAUUGUUCAUUGAUUUAAAUUUGUGUAAAAUAUUAGUAUAUUUUUUAAAAUUUUGGAAAAUUUAGAUUAAUAUUGUCAAAGACCCUUGUUAUUAUGUCAUCAUUUUAUUAAAAUUUUCCUUAAAUCUCUUUAACAAAUUAUAGUUACUAAAAUAAAAUAAAAUAAAAACGUAUGACCCUAUUUUUAAAAGAACCGUUUUGAUUUAUAUUUAUUAGUUUUAGUCCAACUAUCUGUUCAUUUUCUAAAUUUCAUUAUUUUACAUUUUCUAUAAAAGUUAAUUUCAUAUUAUAACUUUUGUUAUUUACAAUAAGUUUAUUUUUUUCUUAAAAAAAAUAAAGUUUUUCUUUUGAUGUGUAGGUAUAAAAAAAAAAUUAAAAUAUUUACCAAAUAUAAAAACUUUUCAAUUUCUAUAAAUAAAUUUAUACUAAUAGACUUAUAUCAUAAAAGAAGAUUAUUUAAUAGAAAAUUUAUCAAAAAUAGGAAAUCUAAUCAAAUAUAUAUUAUAAUAUAUUUUAUAAAUAUUUUUAAUUGAAUUUUAUAUAUAUGAAAUAUUUUUUAAGAUAAAAAAUAAAUUAAAAUAUGUCGAAGCAAACAACCAAAUUUUGGAUUCAAUCAAGUUCUAAUAUAAAUGAAUAUAUAGAAUUUAAAAAUUUUGGUAGGUUAAAUAUUUUGUAAAAUUUGGUAUUUGUAAAGGAAAAUGGUAAAAAAGAAAAAGAAGAAUAUCUUCGUCCCCAAAAUUUGCAAAGGUGAGAGUUUUGGGUUCAAAUUCCGCUGCUUUAAAAGCACUUCAAAAACUCUCUCGCCGCAGACAUUAAGCUCUACACCACCAAAAAUCACUUCCUUUAAACCCUUCAUCUCAAAAACCCUAAUCCCUUACUUCUACUCUUCAACUACUCCAUCAUGGGUCGCCGGAGAUCUGACAAUCACUCUCCGACCACCCUCAACGGCUUGCCUCAGCCUCAGGGUUCGAAGAUUUGCUUCGAAGACGACGACGACGAAGCUCCGGUUGAAGAAACCACUGAAAGCUCCAACUUCGACGAAUCCAUGUGCGACGCCGCCGACGACUCAAACAGAGUCAUUGAAGAUACCGCGUGUGAGCCCGGCCAGUCCUUCAAUGAUAAAGACGAUAAAACCAGCGCUGAUUAUUACUUCGAUUCCUACUCUCAUUUCGGUAAUACUUAGAUUCUUCCUUGUGAUUGAUUAUGACUUGUUGGUUUCUUUUUUUUCUUUUUUGUUAUGUAUAUUCAAGUAUUAUUCUGAGAGUAGAAGCUGAUUGCUCUUUGUGUUUUUUUUUUUUUUUUCGUUUUGCUUGUGCAGGUAUUCACGAAGUAAGUUCGUCCUACAUUGAUUUGAACCUGAACAGCUAAACUCAUUUUCAUGUUGUUUUGUUUUGUUUUGUUUUGAUUCCACCUGCUCAAAUCUGUAGCAUGAUUUUUUUGUUUAUCUCUGCAGGAAAUGUUGAAGGAUACAGUUAGAACUAAGACUUAUCAAAAUGUAAUUUAUCAAAAUAAGUUUUUAUUUAAAAAUAAAGUAGUUCUUGAUGUGGGAGCAGGAACUGGGAUUUUGUCACUAUUUUGUGCCAAGGCAGGAGCUGCCCAUGUUUAUGCUGUAAGUAUGGGAAUUCUUAUGGGAUGUCAAUGCGGGUGCUGUUUUUCCCCCUUUUUCUUUGGUUUAUUCUUUUAGUUUUCUGUUUACAGGUCGAGUGCUCCCAUAUGGCCGACAUGGCUAAAGAGAUUGUUGAAACAAAUGGAUUUUCCAAUGGUAUUUUUCUUAGAUCUCUUGUUCACUAUUUUUCUUCUUGUACUUUGUUGUGAUAUCAUGGAAUUGUCUUCUCCAAUUUACUUAUUUUCAUUUAUUUGUGGCAGUUAUAACUGUUUUGAAAGGGAAGGUUGAAGAAAUCGAACUUCCCGUUGCCAAAGUAGACAUAAUUAUCUCAGAAUGGAUGGGAUACUUCUUGUUGUUUGAGAAUAUGUUAAAUACAGUUCUAUAUGCUCGUGAUAAGUGGCUUGUAAGUAUUUUGUGGUUCUAUUGAGAUUUUAGCACUAGUAAUCUGUCUGAAGAAUGUAAUGAAAGACAAAUGGAUAAUUUUUUAUUUUUUAGCUUUAUGUAUGGCUUUUUAUGCUACACUUGAAUUUCGAUGCAUCUGAAUUUUUGCAACACUUUAAUGGCUAGAUGUGGGAUGUUCAGCUGGUCCCUAAUAUUCACACAUGUUAUUUUGGUUUCUGUAAUGCAGGUUGAUGAUGGUAUUGUAUUACCAGACAAAGCUUCUCUACAUUUAACAGCUAUUGAGGACGCAGAUUAUAAAGAAGACAAGAUUGAGUGUGAGUUCAUUUAUAUGUGAUACUACUAUAAGUUGGUGUAUCCUAUCUCCUCAAGUUGUUUUAUUUAACCCAUCCACGUACACUUUGCAUUCAUUUAUGUUGCUAUAAAUGUUAUUUGAUUUGCUCAACUGUACAUGUUGCAUUUAUUUUGACAUAGUUUCCCUGUUCAUUUGCUUGUUAAAAUAGUUUGGAAUAGCGUAUAUGGGUUUGAUAUGAGCUGCAUCAAAAAGCAAGCCUUGGUGGAGCCUCUGGUGGACACUGUUGACCAGAAUCAAAUUGUUACAAACUGUCAGCUACUUAAGGUGAAAACCAAACACUUUGACCAAAGACUGAUUUAAAGUUCAAUCUUCAAUAUUUCCGUUGGACAUGAGCAUUCCUUUGCUUCUUGCAUCACAUCUUGAAGUUUCAACUUUUCAAAAAAUUAGAACACCCUUCCCCCCCCCCCCCCCCCCCCCCCCCCCCUUUUUUUUGCUUAAUCUUAUCAAAAGCAAGUUUUGUCUUCGUUUCUUUAAGAUUCUUCAAAUACUGCAAUAUCAUCCUAGUUUCGGAUCAUUUGGACCAUGUAGUAAAUGUUGAGAAUCAUGUAUGCAACAAAUGAUAUGCAUAUUACACUAGCUUAUGCCUUUUAGUUUACCUGUUCUCUUAGCCCCUGUUGUUUUCAUUCACACAGACAAUGGAUAUAUCAAAAAUGGCACCUGGUGAUGCUUCCUUUACUGCUCCAUUCAAGCUUGUAGCAGAACGUGAUGAUUACAUCCAUGCUCUUGUAGCCUACUUUGAUGUUUCUUUCACCAAAUGCCAUAAGUUGACGGGAUUCUCAACUGGUAAAUUUCUGCAUUUGCUACUUAAGUGUCCUUUGCUUGACAUCGUUUUAGUUGAUUUUGGACCUCUUUGAUAGCGUUUUUCAUUUUUUUUUUUUUUGGGUUUUUUAAUCAUUAAAUAUGUAAACUGUGUUUGAUAAAUGUCUUUUAAAGUGAAAAAAUAUCAUGAACAUAACAAAAAAAGAAUUUCUGCAUUUUUUUAAAAAACGAAUGUAAAACUUUUACAUGAAAGCAACUUUUGAAGUAAAUGUAAAUAACUUUUUAUGUAAAUGACAAAACUAUUGAAAAUAUUUACCUAAGAGUUUGAUAGCGUUUUGGAAGAGGUCUCAUACGAUGAGGAUCCUUCACUUGGGUUGGUAGAGUCUAAGUUAGGUUAGGGUGCUUGAGGUGUAAAGCUACACGUUAUCUAGCAUUGGUAGAAUUUGAAGUUUAUCUAGCAUUGGUAGAAUUUGAAGUUUAUCUAGCAUUGGUAGAAUUUGAAAUUUUGUUAUGUUUUAUAAAUAUUUUGGUUCAUUUUACCGAAAACGUCCCUAUUUAUUAUGCAUUUUUUAAUUAAAAAUUGAUAAGUAUCUAAGUUUGUUUUCCAAUGAACAAACUGGCAAACAGAAACAAAAAAUUGUAGUUUCUGAAAAAAAUAAGUGAAAUUAGAAACAAGAAUCUUUACGACAAUCUUGCUACUAAACCUCCCAAUUUUAGCUUGAUAGUUGAUGAAACAUUCUACUAUAUCAUGUUAUAGGUCCAAGAUCAAGGUCUACACAUUGGAAGCAAACAGUCCUAUACUUGGAAGAUGUCAUCACAAUUUGUGAGGGCGAGUCUAUAACUGGGAGUUUGAACGUUGCUCCAAACAAGAAGAAUCCUCGUGAUAUCGAUAUCGUGCUCAAAUACUCGUUCAAUGGACGUCGAUCUACAAUCUCAAAGACUCAACAUUACAAGAUGCGUUGAUUCUUUUUAACAUUGGCUUGUCUCCUCCGAAUGCAAUCAAUGUAUUGAGUGUUGCUACAUUCUUUUAAAGGGUGUAAAGUUUGGCAAUUACAAUCGUAUCGACAUGCUUGUAUUCUUUUUGCCCAUCUGAAUGCUUUUUAAUUCAAUCUAUAGUGUUUUCUCUUCUACUAUAAUGUCCAUUUCUGAUUGAUAAUAUGCAUAUUAGAAAACUCUCAAGUCUUCAAACUCUUCAAAUUUUAGUGACCAUUUAGUUUAUUUUUCAGUUUGUAACAUUUUAAUUUGAAAAACAUGUUAUUAAAUUUCUUGCAAAUGUAGAUAUUCGAUUGGAAGCUCAUUUAUAUGAUUUUUUAUUUUUCUUCUGUUUUUAGUAUAAUUAUAGUCAGAGCGAAUUGAAUCAAGAAUUGUUUUAGUUGAUCAUUACAUAUUAAAAUUUAUAUUACAAAAAAUUUUUCUCUAUUACCAAUUUUUGCAACAUGGUCUAUCAUUGAUAGAAUUGGACAAAUUUUACUAUAUUUGCAAAUAUUUUAAAAUUGUGUUAUAUACUUAAUUAAUUUGAAUUUAAUUGUUUAAUUGGCAUCUAUCUCACAAUUAAAUUGUUAUAAGUUUGAAGUAGAAAAAUUAAAUCGUUGUUUUGUGAAAGUUUAGGAAUCAAAAGUUUAUGAUUAAGAUAAUCAAGUUUAGAGAUUGAAUUGUUAUAGUUUACAAGAUUGAGAUUAUAGGACUAGAUCGUGACCAAUUGAAUCUUGAACAACCAAACCAUAUAAAAACAAAACAGAGCAACUCUUCCAUUAGCAAAGUUUUGGUUUUUCCUCAAUAUUGAAAAGAACCACAAAAUUUCAGGACUAAGGAUUGAUUUAAACCACAACUCUUCAGUAUUUGCUACCAAAUUUACCAGCUAACUUCCUAUUAGGGAGAUGCAAAUACAAAUGAAAACUAUUUGUAGUGCUAAAGAAAGAUAAGAUACUUCAAAGUUCUUGUUUUGUUGGCUUUGAACUUUUUAAGCCUCCAGUCUUUGCUCUCCACCAAUGCCUUACUUUGUUGGAAACUUUAUAAGCAUGUUGUUUUAGUGCUUCCCCUGCCUUAGAAACUCCUUUAGUGAUUCUAUUUUUCCAAUCAUUGUUCUUCCUCUCUUUCUCCCUCAAAACUUUGCCCUACAAAAAGGUUUAUCAUUUAGUUUAAGUAUAACAAUUAACAAUUGUAAUCCUAAAGAAAAUCUAGCUAGAUAAAAGAUGUUUUAAAGUACCAAAUUAGAGGGGAAGUUUUCUUCUUCUUCUUCUUCUUCUUCAUCAUCAUCUUCACCUCCAAAAUUCUUCAUGUUCAUUAAAUCGUCUCUUGAAUACAUUUUCAUUCCAGGUGCUCCUGGCAUUCCCUGUUCAUGUGAAGAGUGUGGGUGGAACUAGAAACUAGAGGUACACGUAAGAUCAAUUCAAUAUUUAACUUCACACUUCCUGAACUUACUUUUUUGUACUAUUAAAACUGAUUUUGAUUGAUUAAAACUAUUUUUCCUUGUUUUUAUUUGUUACUAGACAACAUACAUUAGAACAACCAAUUGCUUACCUCCAUGGAUCUCAUCAUCUUUUCCAUUUCAGCUUCUUUGGAUGACUUGGCCACAAAGGGCUCACCUGGAGUCCUGUCCUGGAUUUUACAAGGACAAUAUAAGGGGUCAGGUUAAACUUAUAAAAUACUGUAUCCUAAUACCAAAUGAUUACAAGUUGCUUAGCAUUGCUUAACAAUCAUCAUUACUUCUCUGUUUUUCAACAUAAAACUAAUAAUAAAACAAAUUAAACCCAGCACUUUCAGUAUCAAACAUGAUUAGUAAUAUCCAAUAUUUAGAACUUAACCAUUGGAUUAGGAUAGAGAUACAAAAAGAGGGGAGAUCAAGUACCCACAGAACAGCUUACAAAGCAGAAAAAGAGUCCAACUAGAAGAAAUUUGGGUUCGGCUAUAAGUACAAAAGCCAUUGUUAGUUUCUUAAUCACGAAAAAUUCUACAGUUUCUUUCAAACUAGGGCCUCCAAAUAAGGACGAGGAUCUUAACCAAUGGAUUGUUCAUUUAACAAGUUGGAUGUCAAAAUUUUCUCCCAACGGAAUAACCAUGCAACGCUCGCCAUCUGAAAUUCAACUAAAACAUAUAACUAGGAAAAUACCAGUUAACCCCAAUAGGCACCUGGAAUCGAACAUUGUUUAAUGAAAAUGAUAUUUAUUUAUACUACACCAGAAAACUAAUCGUUAAAGAAAAACCAAAGAAAGAUGGGUAAUUUGACAAUGAUUUCAUCAUAUACCAAUUAGGAAUUAUUAAUCAGCAAAACUGGAAUGUGAUUAGCUAACUACCUUAGGAACUGGAGGCGGCUUAGUAGUGCACGAUUUAGUGAGGUCCUUGCACAGAUAGUUAACCAAAGAAUCAAUCUUUGGUUUGGAGCUAUAUAAGUAUUCAGCAACAUCAGUAUCGGAAUAUCCCAUGACCUGCAAUAUAACAUAACAUAUUUAAGCAUUUGACAUAUUGUCUUUCUGGAAAUCCAUUUCUUCCCAAAACAAAAUUUUGGAGGGUCAAGGCAAUAGUAGCAAAACAAAACCUCCACUCCACUUUAGUAAGUUCCUUCUAGCUAUUAUUUUACUUGUAUCGGCCUAUGUAUAUUGAAGUUACUAAUAAGUGAACCUCAAUAUUUUUUUUAUCUUCUAGAGAUUAACCAUUAACCACACAGAAAGAGUAAGAAGAUCCUUCCUACUAGAGGGAACAAAGAAUCAUAAAAAAAAAAUCAACAAAUAAUAAAUGCAUAGGUUAAAUAACAAAUUUGGUGUGGAGAAAGUUAGAGGUUAGUUCUUAUGGUAUUAAAAUUUAGAACUUAGUCCCCAUGGUUUGAUAAUAGGGACUAUUUAUGAAGGUUUUAUUAAACCAUAUAGAGUAAGUUCUAAUUAAAAACCAACCGAAUUUGUAAUUUAACCUAAGUGCAUAGGUGGAAAUUUCUCAUUUCUUAUCUUCCCAGAUAAUGGAGCUGUAGUUCAUUCCAAUAGUUGCAGCAAUAAGAGAUGGUGCAGUAUCAAAGCAAGGCCUAAACAUACCUCUUGACAUGCACGUUCAAUGGUCUUGCACUCUGAAUUGCAUUGUCCUUCAGUGUUCUGAUCUACUAGCUGAGAAGACAUGAAUCUUCAAUGAGUUACAUUGUAGAAAAAAAUUGAAAGAAAUUGAAUAUUCAUUCAUAUAUUGAGUAUCAUUAUUCAAAAAGAAAAAUUUAGUUUCAUGCCUGAGACAAUUCGAAUCAUUCUCAAAAUUAAAAAUACCAAAUUCCAAAACGUGAUGAUCUAAAUAAAUCAAAUAACCCUGUUUCUCCUUACCUCCAACUUAUCACCUUGUUCAACAAUGUCGAUCUGUAAGAUCCAAUCAGCUUCUGCCUUCUUCAGAUUACAAACAUUCUCAGCUAUUUCGAUAAUUUGAUACUCCGAGAUCUAAAACAAAAACCAAAAAGGGUUAAAAAAAAAAAAAAUCAAAUGCAUGAAAAAAAAAAUGCAACUGAAUACAAUCUCUAAAUUAAACAAUCCAAAACCGAUCCAUGAAUUACCUUCUUGGGAGCAAUCUCAGCUUGUUUCUUCUCAACUUGGUGAUACAACUCCGCAGCAAGCUUCUCGCAGACUUGGCAUUUGAUGUACGGAAUAUCCUCUUUUCUAGCAGCCGCUGAUGGUUUCUUCGAACACUCAAACGUUGGAAUUAAACCAAUGAUGAAAAUCACUAAAACAACAAUCACUAAUUGCUUCAUCUUCUUCACUGACAAAGUUCUCGGGGUUCAGGAUUCAACAAUGGUUGAAGAAGAGUUCUUCCCUACAAAAAUGGCGUCAACUUAAAUUGGUUGGAGUCAGAUCAAAUAUAAAAAUCGAACAAUUUCAACCGAAAAACCAGAUUGAAUUGAAGAAAAAGAAGAAGAAGACGAAGGCCGAUUUUCAGUUGUUCAACUUCGGUCUUCAUAGAGAAAUUAAAUAUAAAUAAAUACAUAAAAUGUUGAUGAGGUGGCCCAAUUUAAUUGGUUGAUUCUACGUAGGGUUUAUUUAUUUCAUCCAAUAAGAUUCGAGAAAACACGUUUCUUUUUGCUAUUAUUUUUUUUUUCUUUUCAUGCCUAAGUUAUUUAAUUUUACUUCGCAUGGGAUUCAAAAUGUUAUACUUUCUACAUUAUCGAGCAACUUAAUUUGAAAUUUUGAAUAAACGUAUUUUAGAAAUUCGUUCUUCCACCACAAACUUAGGUUAACAUGAAACUUAGUAGUUCAAACUCAAUGCUAUAAUAUCAUUUUGUUUUGUUUUAGUUUGGUUCUUAAUUUUAGAUUCACACUUUUAGCUUUGUUUUAUAUUUUAUCAAAUAAUCCCUUAUUAGUCAUUAAUAUUAGGUUAAAAUAUUAUUUGAAUUUAAUGAUAGUUUAAUUUAGUUCAUAUAUCUAAUUUUAAUUUCUAACAUUUCCAUAAAUCUUAAAUUUAGUCUCUCCUACUAGUUUAGUAUAGAUUUUCUACAACACUUUUUUUAGUAUUUUUACUAUAAAUUUUAAAAAUGUAUUUACAUGUAAACUAUUAUUGGAUCAAUUUUCAUUAAAAAAAUUAACUAUAAAAGAUUAAUUAAACAAAUUUUAAGAUAGAGAAAUCAAAAUGAUUAUUCAACGUUAGAUACUAAUAUUCAUUAAUUAAUUUAUUAAAAGUAAGUGUGAAAUGAAAUUUCCUAAAAUGGGGUAGACUUAAUUAAUUAUUAUUUUUUUCAGAUUUUUAAAAUUUAAUUAAGAGAUAUUUUAGUAUAUAUUAUUACUAACCAAAUGAGUAUUUAACUAAAAACACGUUGAAAAUGACUAAAUGUAUAAUAUUUUAAAUUAUAGAUUGACUCUAAACAUGAGAUAUUUUUUAAAAUAACAAAACAAACUAAAAUAUUUACAAAAUUUUAGAUCCCAUCGUUAAUAGUCACUGUACAAUAUCAAUCACUCGAGAAUAGAAUUUGCUAUUGUUUGUAAAUAUAUUUUUUUUAAAAAAAAAUUGUUAUUUUUCAAAAAAAUUCAAAUAUUAAUGUUAUUUUUCUAAAGAAAAUCUAAUUAAAUGAUUCAUGUCAUCACAGCCGUUAGAUUUUCGAUAAUUUUAACGGUUUGAAACAAUCACACGUCAUAAAUAGGCUCCACCAUUUCAUCCGACAUGGCACAAUCUUCAAAAAAACCCUCACAAAACCCUAAAGUAGCUUUCGCCUUCUUCCCCUACCAAUUCUUUCUCCAUUGUAAUCGAUUUUCAAAUUUCAUAAGUUUCAACCAGUUUCAUGGCUUUGGGUCUUGUUGAAUCGAUGGAAUCUAUCAACCCUUUAAAGCAAAAUCCUUUCCUCGGAGAAAAUUACGAGUUUACUCUUGCGCAAUCAAUCCAGAAUGUCUUAGCUGAAAUUCGCAAAGGAAAUGUUGUUUUUUCUCAAUUUACGAAAAGAUUCUACAAAUUGAUUCAAGCUAGAGCUGACCCACCAUUAGAAUCGAUUUGGUUUUACUCCGCAUUAAAGUUUCGUAGUAGUUUCAAUCCUAAAGGCGAUUUUUUGGAACGAGUGGCAGCCAUGAAAGUCUUGUUUCAGUUGGUAUGUUCUUGUUCGGCUCCUUGUGGUUCUUCGAAGACCAUUACGUUGCUUUCUCCAGUGGUUUCCGAGGUGUAUAAAUUGGUUAUCGACAUGCGUGGAAAGGAUUUGAACUCGACAAGGGAAAAGAAAGCAAUGAGAGAGGUUAAGUCUUUAGUUGAAGCAAUUCUUGGUUUUAUGAAUCUGAGUUCACGUGAGGAUUCGGACAAGAAUGAUAAAUCUCUCGACUUCAGUUUGAUUACUCCUUUUAUGGAUUUAAUUAGUAUCUGGACGCAGCCAAAUGAGGGAUUGGAUCAGUUCCUACCGCUCGUGUGCAGUGAGGUUCGUGAGGAGUUUAGUUCGGGAGAGUGUGAUGUUCGUCGCUUGGCUGGAGUUGUAAUCGCUGAGAUAUUUCUGAUGAAACUGUGCUUGGAUUUUAACUAUGGACGUUCGAGGCAAGAUUUGGAGAAAGAUCUAAUAACAUGGGCUGUUGGAUCAAUAACUCAGAUUAGAAAUUUCUACUCUUUUGGUUAGUGAUUCGAAGUCCCUUCUCAGUAUUGGUUUGAUUUUGCAUGGCGUUAAAGUAUUUAUUAGAUUAUAUUAGGUUGUUUAUGCUUUCUAUGAUAUAUCUAUUUAUCUUGCUGAUGUUGGAUUUGAUAACUGCUAAUAUGCUCCCAGUUGGUUUGUUAUAACUCGUGUUAUAUUGUAUGUUGUUCUUUAUGGCAUUUUUUAAAUAAGACGUUGAAGAAUUGCAUACUUCUUUGACUAGCUAGAUUUACAAGCAUGGCUAAGCGCAAUACUACUGGGAUUAAGUGUGAAGCAUGAAGAAAAGCAAGACUCUUCAUAGUGAAGUACCUGAUUGGGGGCGGGGGGAAACAUUAUAAUGAGGAAUGAGAUAAAUGAGAAAUGUUCUACAUUUUUGUUUGAGAUGUUUUUUUAGUACUAUAGGGGGUGGAGGAACAAGAUAUCUCUUGGUAGCUAACACAUAUUAUACCUAGUUAUCUAUGCUUACUUUGGAUAUCUUUCUUUACAAAAUGGUGUAGAGAUACAAGGCCUCUAUGCAAUAUGUUUGUCUUUUACAUUUUAUAUGAAGAGGGAAAUUUGGCUUUUUGGUUUAUGAGUUUUGAAGAAUAGAAGCAUUUGGCCUUCGUUUUAAAUUGGUAAAUUGGUCAUUUUAGUCUCAAAGUUUUCAAUAAUAUGUUUAAAAAGUUUACUCUUCUAACAAAAUCAUUAAAAUUUUCGUUUUGCUACUGUACAAGUUGCAUUUGGUUGAAAAUAAGAUAGAGGAUGUAGAGGGAGGUGAGAUAACAAGAGAGAGAAGAGGAGAUGAGAUGAGAGACAAAGAGGGGAGAACGUAGAGAGGGGAGGGAAUGAUUAAAGAUAUAAUUUCUUUCCAUGUCAUCUUGCAUGUCAACCGUCUAGUCAUUUUAAAAAUAAAUAAUGGUUUUGUUCCUAGGGAGACUUUUUAAGCCUAAUCUUGAAAAUUCAGCAACUAAAUGACCAAUUUGAAACAUCAUGGACCAAACACAUUUAUUCUUCAAAACUCAUGGAAUUUUUCCCUCUAAAGAACCUUGAAAAAAAAGAUAUAUCCAAGCAUCAUCGAGGGUGCCUUGCCUUAGAUAGAACCUAAGCACACUCAUUAGAACACUGAUUGUCCAUUGCACAAACAUUGCUGCGUGUUCUAGUGUAUGUUUGAUUUAUGCAUCUAGUUUUUAAGUUUAGAAUUUUGUUAUACGUGCUCACAUCUCGGUCUAUCAUUGUAUCAACAGAAACUCUUGUAAGAGUCCUCCUGGAGGCAACUUUACCUGUGACGUCUCUUUUGGUAAGUUUUGCUUUUAUGAGCUUUUUUGGAUGUAUGGGUGUCUUCCUUAGAAUAAUUAUGUGUUUGACAGUUUCUGUAUUCUAAUUAAUCUGUUUGUUCUAACGUGUAUUAUGAAUAUGUACAUGCACUUUGUCCUUGGAUUUGAUCUACCGUUAUUACGGUUCCAAAAUCAUUUGAUGUUAUUAUAAACCUUUUUGCAGAGUACUGACAAUGAAGCUUUGUUAAGGAAGGUUCUAUAUGAUGCUCUUAUAUUGGUUGAUUAUUCGUUUUUGAAACCUGAGAUAGCCAUUAACUUACCUGCCGAGCAUGUGGCGUUUCUUGCUGUUAAGAGAUUGAUUCUUACUUAUGAGGCCAUAGAGUUUUACAGGUAUGUGAAGAAUUGAACAUUCCAGGAACUUCAAUCGGACUUUUACCAUACCUUCCUCUGAAGUCUUAUUGGUUCUUUGUUGUAUAAAUACUUAGGGAGCAUGGAGAUCAGAAUAGAGCCAUCUCAUAUCUAAAUGCCUUCUCGAGUUCUCUUGUUUCUUCUCAAAUUAUUAGAUGGAUCAAAAGCCAAAUGCCUAGCAAUGAGAAUCUAAAUUGCCCCAAUGGGUUGUCACCUAAAGUGUUUCUUGGUACGUUGUUGAUGUUAACUUUUACGUUGAAGUAUAUGCAUUAAUGGUAUAGUUGAGAAUCUAAUUUUCUGUUCAUUUUCUUCCAGAGUGGCUUCUCAAGGCUGAAGAUCAAGGUGUAAGAGUAUUUGACAAUACCAUUUCCAAUCGUCGAUCCAAAUUAGUUCUUGAUACUUCCAAAUCAGUCUCAUUUGAGGGAGAUAAAGUAGAUGAUGAUCUUUUGUUUUACAUCGAUAAGCAAGGGGGAAAUGUAAAUGGAAGUGAGGAGGACACGACAAUGGAUGAAUCGGUAAAUGCAGCUCUCGCUUCUGCUGCUCCUACAAUGUCAACGACUGAAAAUAGUUCGGUCAAGAAGCUAAGUAGAAAAGCAAAAAAAAGGAAUAAAAAGUUAAAGUUGUUAAGUCAGUUGAAGUCAGCUGUUGAGGGCGAUCUUUUGUUUUGCAUCAAUAAGCAAGGGGAAAAUGAAAAUGGAAAUGAGGAGGACACGACAAUGAAUGAACCAGUAAAUGAAGCUCUUGUUUCUGCGGCUCCUACAAUGUCAACGACUGAAAAUAGUUCGGUAAAGAGUCUAAAGAGAAAGGCAAAAAGAAAGAAUAAAAAAAAUAAAUUGGUUAAGUACGAUCUGGUUCCGAACACUGAUGCUACCCAGUUGAAGUCAGCUGUUGAGAAUAACGAUACACACAGCGAGGGGGAGGUUCAUAAUCCACACUCGGACAAAGAUUCUGACAUGAAACAGUAAUGUGAUUCAACAAGAAAGGUUGGUAUUUGGUUGCAACAAAACAACUUCAGAUUCAGUUUGUUUUCUUUUUUUGAAGAUCUUCCUGGAGUAGCUGGCUGAGUUACAAGGCAAGUCGAUAAUCCUCUGAGAACGGUUGAUUUUGAACUCGGGACUUUGCAACAGUUCAACCAAGGAUUGUAAAUGUAAAAUGAUUCACUAUUUAAUCAAGGAAAGGAAGAAGAUGGAAAGACGUUUUGGGUCAUUAUGAUGCUGCUGCUUGGCUUCAUGAAGAUGAAUCAGAUCUUUAACUUCUAUUUGAUAUAAAUGUACUUUACUACCUUUGAGUAAUUCUCUUUUAAGAGAUUUUUCAAAUUUAAACAUCACAAAAAUACUCUCUCCAAAUACAACUCUUACUCUUAGACCUUUCAUCUAACAAAGUUUUGCAUGACAUUGUAUUCAAAUAUUUUCUUUUUCAUCUAAAUUUUUAUUGGUUUUUUAAUCAAAUGAUAGUUUUGAAAUAUUGAAUAGUGUGAAAAUUCAAUACAGGAUAGACCCAAUCUUGGGGCUCUCUUGCACCUAUAUUUUCUUCUGCUUAACUCAAAUGAGAUUCAAUAUUUUGACUGUCAAUUUCUAUGUAAGUUGUUUUCUUUCACUCACUCAUAUAACUAUCUGAUUUAGUUCAUUAAUCUGAAUAAUAUAUAUAAAAACAAUGAUAUCUAUUCAAUGCAUUUCAACCCUUUUCUCGAGAAAAAUAGAAGAAGUUUAUGUCUCAACGAAUCACACGUAGAGAUAUUGAUAAUUCACAUAGAGCUAGUACCCUUCGAGAAGUGAUUGGUCUUCCAUAUGCUAUAAACUGUAUUUUGAUCUCACACUAAGCCAAGAAAUUAAAAAACAAUCAAUUUUGUUAAACAAUUUCAAUUAUCGUAAUAUACAUAAAAUAUCAUUUUAAUAUUGUGUACUUCAACCAUUUAGUUUAUCUUUUAUUCUUUCUAAAAAAUUUACUUUAUAAUUUGUACUUCACAUAAUGUCUUUUACUAUCCAUUAUUGUUAUUUAAUUAAUUUUGAUAAACUAUUAAAAAUAUUUUUAAAUAUAGUAAAAUUAAUAAAUAUUUAUAAAAUAUAAUAAAAAUUAAGAUUCUAAUCCAGCUCAAAGAUCAAAUUUACAAAUUUAUCCUUUCGAGAUUUUUUCAAAAUAUAAAAAAGAGAGAGAAUUGAUUUUGUAGAAUUGACCCAUCUCUCCUACAAAAUAAUAAGUUAUGUAGUCACGGACUAUGGUGGUGGCAAUAUCUCUUUCACAUCACAUUCUUUAUUUUCAUUUUUCUUUCUAAGUUUUCUUUUCUUUAUAAUAUAUAUAUAUAAAAAUUUAUUUCAUAACCAUAAAUCACGUUGUUGAGUAAAACAAUUUCAUAUCUUAUAAUAUUCUUUUUCUAAUUGGACGUUUCCUUUUUUAUAUCUAAUAAAACAAUAAGUUCAAGAAAAUUAUCAUUAUUGACUAAUUGAUUGCAAAAUUAGUUUCUUGUAUGUCUUUCCUUUAUUUAUUUAAUUACCACUUGAACUUAAUUCUCUUCGUUCAAGUAGAUAAAACGUUUGACUCAUUUGUAAAUAUUUUUUUAUCAAAAAUUAAUUUCAUCCGAAUUGACUAAAAGAAUUGCUUUUACCAAAACUCGUUUCAUAAAUGUUAUUUAAAAUUUUAAAAAAAUUUAGUUUGAAUGUAAAUAGUUUUUUAAAAAGUAUUGCUUAUUUAUUUAUCUUCCUUAUUUAAUUAUGUUGAGUUUUUAACUAAUAAAUUAAAAUGUAAGCUAAGUGUGAUUACGGUUGAUGUUGUUUACUUGUGUUUUGAAUUCGUACCAAUACAUGGAAUCUACGAUUAAAUUCAUCAACAAAAGUUGUAAUCAAUCCAAUUUAAUUGGUUCUCAUGAGUAAAAGUAACACUAAAAUUUAUAACUUUAGAUAAACGCGAUCAAAAGCAAGUCUAAAUACAUUUACGAUUAUAGUCCAUUACAAUUAAAUUUCAGUGAUAAUCCAUAAACGUGACCUUAAACUAACUCGUUUGCAUCUUUUCGGCUAUAUAUAUAUAUAAUUUUUUUUAUUGAGGUUGGUGAAGGAAUGUGAGAGAAGCAGUAGGAAAUUGCCAAAUGUAAAAAUAUGAGUGAAAUUAAAAUAAAAACAUGAUUAAAAUGGGUAUGAUUAAUAAUUGAGUCUGAUGAAAGGCAAGCAAUCUCUCUCAUUUUCUUAUUUUUCUUAUUUUAUUUUGUUUAUAUAUAUAUAUAUAAAGUUGAAAGGACUUGGUUUGUACACGUAAUCAGUAGCUACAUCACAAAGGGUGUUUAUAUGGUCCACGUGGAACCCACAAAAAGAGCAUCCAAUGCCAGGUGUAUGCAUCACUAUGACACCAAUCACCUUUUAGUCAAACACAUUUUCUUCGGCCCCACCCCCACCUCAUCAUUUCAUUUCGUCUUUUUUUACAAAUUUUAUACACUCAUUUUUAUUUUUUGAAAAAAUGUUUAUUUAAUUUAUAGAUUUAAUCAUUAAUAUGGUGUUGGGGAUUUAGGGUUUCCUUUCCAAAAAAGAAAGAGAAGACUGGACGUCUGGUGCUUUUGAAUGAAUUCAGUGGUUUAGGUACCGACAGAUUUAGUGUAGGUCUCUUUUGUUCAAUGUUCAAUAGUAUUCUCUAUCGAUCUUAGUUUUUUCAAGCUUCAUUUUUACUAAAUUAAAAAAUAUUUAAACUAUUUUAGUGAUAUGUUAAUAAUUAACCAAGUGUUUGGGGCUUAGGGUUUUUUCUUUAAAAAGUAAAGUAUUUGAGGCUAUUGGAAUAAAUCGUCGGUUUGAGAUGUAUGUUAAGAGAACGAGAGGUAAUGACUAUUUUAACUUAGUGAUCAAAAUAAUCAUCUCUCUCUUUCUACAAUGUUUUUCAUGACUCUACAUGUUGCUGAUCGUUCUACUUUUAUGGAUCUCUGUUUGAAGGUCAAACCAAGAAAACUAUGUAUAUAGAUACAAAGAACAACGGAAAAAACCAUUAUUGAAAUUAAAACUAAAGAACCAAAAAAAUCCUCAAAUACUUUUUUGAGGUUAUUUAUACAUUUAAUUCCGUACAUAUAAUAUAAUAAUUUAUUUUAGUAUUACGAGCUAUUUCUUGGAAAAAGAAACAGAUCAACCCUUAUUCUUCAAUGACUUUUGAAUUAUAUAACUUAUCAUCAUUUUUUAAACAUAUAUUUAAGUUGACGAUAUUUUUUGUGUGCGUGAAGGUUGGUGACUUAUACUCAACAACUAUCACUAAUAGAUAUAUGUUUUUGUGCAAUAUUAUUAUUAUGAUGUUAGAGAAUUGAUUACUUUUUUUGUAUGCCUUUCAAUAUCAUUUUUUUAAAUAGUAAAAUUAUAAUUAGUAAACCGAAAAUUAGGUUUUAAAUUUUGUAUGAAACUAUUUUCCUAUGUUCGAAAAACUUAAUAUACCCAAAAAAAUUACAAAAACUAAACUUAUAUUUUAACAAAUACAUUAAUAAAGUAUCUAAAUUAAGGAUAAAAAUAUCGUUGAUGUUAACAUUUCAAUCGUGUUUCGAUUGUUUGAUAUAAACAAAGGUCAGAUUAUAACGUAAAGAGAAGAAUCAAUUUUGUAUUCUCGAUAUUUCUCUUUCAUGAUCGAUAAUCGAAAUAUAUACCAUACUUGUUCGAAUAAGUAUGAUUCUUUUUUCUCUCCCUAAUGCCAACCCAUUUUUAUUAAUUUAUUUCACUUUAGAAUAUAUGAUCACAUAUAUCUAUACAAAAAUCAUUUUAUAUAUCUUUUACUCCACCUCUCCUACACUAAGUUUCUUAUAUUCAUUCACCAAUGAUUCAAUAACAUAACAAUGAUAGUAUAAAAUCUAAACGUAUAUCUUAUUAUUGUUAAAUAAUAUAUCUAUUUGUAACAAUGCGUAUUUGUUGUAUUAUAUUUUUAUCUUUACUAUAUUAAAAAGGACCAACGAGAAUUUUUAAUUUUAAAUUUUCUCACAGUGUACAUUUCUUAUAUUUUGCUGUAUAUACUCUAAUCACAUUUUUUUCUUAUAUCACCUUAAAUUCAUCCUUAAAAAAAUGGAUUCGAUAUCGUACUUCAUUUUGUUUAAUUAAGAACAUUUAAAAUUACAAAUAAACAUACCCUACUUCAUUUGAUCCGUUUCACGUUAGAAAAUUAUGUUUCAAACGAUUUAUAGACACAUAAAUACUUUAAAUUUAUAUAAUAGAUUAACUCAAGAUCAUUCAUGUCAAAUUAUCAAAAAUAAGAAUUUUUUUAGCUCGAUGUCAAUUUUAGAGAUAAUAAUUGAGUGUCUAAUAACAUAUUACGUAUAAUAAACUCUUGUGAUAUAUCAGUUGAUAGACUCUCAAAUUUGGCUAUAUUUAUAAAUUUAAUUUUGUUGGUACAUAUUAAUAAUUUAAAUGAAAUUGUUAUAUUUAAUUUAUAUUAUUUGGGUUAAAUCAACCUAUUAUCAUCUUGAUGGGAACACAUAGUAAAUGUUUGGUGUCGUUUUAAAUACAUUAACCUGGCGUUUCGGGGGCAUCAAAAUGGCGUCGUUUAGAGGGAAGUUGAAGAAUGUAUCCGUUUAGGUAUAUUAGAAGCUGAGGUGGCAAAAUUUUGACUACGGUUAAGGGGUUAAUUUCAGUUGGUGCGAAAGGUCUACGACCAUCGGUGGACAUUAACCGUAGGUUAACUCUUACCCGUUGGAAACAUAAUAAUAAUUAUAUAUAAAAAAAAAGAAAGAUAAAAGAGAGAUAGAGAGAGAAAAGAAAAAUACAGAAAGAAAAAAGAGUUUUAUUAUUAAAACAGACAGAGAGAAAGAGAAAGAGAAAGAAUCGCUUUGUAUAUAAGCCAACGAAGCCAAAGCCUAUAAUUCUGGAAGACGAGAGACGAGAGUAAAAUCAAAAGAGAGAGACCCUUCUCCGUCUGCGACAGCGUCCGGCUGUUUUGGUGGUAGCGCUAUUCAACGGACAUAGAGCUACGGCCAUGGCAGAUUCUAAUGACUCUGUUUCCGUCGACAUGGAGAAGAUCUAUCUCGGCGGCAAGGUUUCUUUUCUUUUCUCUAAGAGUUAAUUAAUUUCUUCCAUUUUGUCAUCUGGGUUUUUCUUUGAUGCAUUUGUUUGUGGUGUACUUGAAUCGGGGUUUUCUUUUCUUUUUUGUUGGUUGGUUUUUUUUUUUUUUUUUGUUGUUGUUAUUGCUGAUUUGAUUGGGUAAAUGUCCUGUUUUUUUUUUUUUUUGGUUGUGUUGUGGGGUUGGGGAUUCUCAUUAUUGGUGAAAUGUCUUAUGGCAUUCUAUAGGUUUGUUUGGAUGUGAAGAAGAAGAAAAAAGUAGGAAAUUAUUUCGGGGAUUAUAACUUUUUCUACUCUUGUGUUUCUUUUCCCCAUUCCGAUCUGGUUCAUUUCUGUGGCUUGAUUGACUAAGAAUUUUCCAUUUUUUGGAAGUUAUUAAUAAUUAAGUUCAAACCUUUUUCCCAAAAGUUCAUUAAUUAGCUACUUAAUGGGUUUGGUUUUGAGGUUACUUUCUUGAUUCAGGGAUUGGUGUUUUAUCCCUGCUUUGUUUUUAAAUGCAAGAUGUGAUAACGAUGGGCUUUGUGCAUUUCCUAUUUCUGGCUUUUGGGGUUCUUUUUUAUUUUCUGAUCCUAAUUGUUAUGUUCUCUUUUUUGGGUUUUAUUAUGUUCAAUUUCGUAUUCAAUUUUUCUUUACCUCUUUUGAUCAAAGGGUUUUCACCUGGUCGAGCUUUUAAUGAUGGUUACAACGGAUUGGAGACAUCUUAUUUAUCUUUAGUUUGUGCUUUUUAAUGAUCUUUAAUUGUUCUGUUUGGGGUAUAUAUUGAUUGUUCGUUUGAACUUUCCAGUUAUCAAUGGCUUAUGUACACGUUGUUGUUUGUUAGAUAUAUUUUCCAUUUUUUUCCUUCUUAUUCUUGCUCUGGUGGUAUUUUAUUUUUAAGUUUCUUUUGUAGAUUAAGAUUGUUUCUACUUUUUGACCUUUUUCUUAUUCUAUGGUUUUUUAUUUUAUUCGUUGUUAUAUUCAUCCCUUGUAAUUGUGGUACUGCUCGUUGAUAAAAGCAAAUUGCAGUCUACUGAAUAAACCAUACCUUUGCCUACUUUUCUGCUUCUUUUCUUCUUUUUGUAAUGGAACUUUAUUUGUAUUGACAGGGGUAGUUGCUUGUUUAUCUUGGCUGUUGUCAUAAUUUUUUUAAGCUGUUGAUAAUUUAAAUGCUGAGCAAUAAAUUUGUUAUGCGCACUACUUUUAUAAAGUUUAUACUAAGUUGAAUGGACAAGUUAGCUUGGGCAUCUUGAAAGGAAAUGCACUUGGACUGUUCUUUACAGAUAUACUUGGCUGGAAAUGUUGGCUAGUUGAACAUUAUUCUUUCCUCAAAGGCUUCCUUUUUACUCAUCCAUAGCUCAUAUGGAAAUAAUAUGUGAUUAGAACAAUGGACAACUACGAGAAUGUUUCGUAUCGAUGUUCUUCUUGAUUUGAGUGUUUCAUUUCCCCAUUACUUCUUACACGUCAUCUUACUGACUUAAUACAUGCCACUCAUGUUAUUCUCAGGAGCAUCAUGUACGAACUGGCCAGGGUUCUGUGUCUGUAAUAGUCUGUGGAGACCAAGAUAAGCCGCCACUUAUUACUUAUCCCGAUUUGGCUCUAAAUCGUAAGUGCUUGGUGUUAUAUUUAUGUUAUGAUUUUGGUGGUGAUAUUUUAUAUAUUUGGUUUCUUGUUAUAUUAAUUAUGUGAGAUAACUUUUAAGUGGUGCCUUUGCCCUGAGUUCUUGCAGAUAUGUCAUGUUUUCAAGGAUUAUUCUUUUUCCCAGAAGCAGCUUCGUUGCUACUUCAUAACUUUUGCAUCUACCAUAUCAGCCCUCCUGGACAUGAGGUCUGUAUUAUUGUUGAGUAAAUUUGUGUCAUGGAUAACUUUGGGCCUGCUCCUGAAUACUAUAUUCACAUAGUUUCCUUUUUGGAACUUUACCAAGAGUUCUUGCAGUUAGGAGCUGCUGAGAUUUGUGAGGAUGAUCCUUCACCCUCUGCCGAUGAUUUAGCAGAUCAAAUCCUUGAGGUUCUCAACUAUUUUGGGUAAGUACACUUGUCCCUCUCCUUCACUAUUGAAUAUGAGAUAAAAGAUUAUAUAGCUGACUUAUCACUGGGUUAUAUCUAUUACAGACUCGGUGCGGUGAUGUGCAUGGGGGUAACAGCUGGCGCUUACAUUCUUAGUCUUUUUGCUGUACGUUCAUUGUAUCAUAAAAUUUAUUGAAUCAUGAAAUCAAAGUUUUUCUUGGUUUUGACCAAUUUAUUAUUUUACAGUUGAAGUAUAGAGAGCGAGUUCUUGGUUUAAUUCUUAUAUCCCCCUUAUGCAAGUCGCCCUCUUGGUCCGAAUGGUUCUAUAAUAAGGUAGUCUUUUCAUCAUUUCUUACACUCCAAUACACUCAAGUUUUGAUAGAUGUUAUAUAUCACACAUCCCUUGUAAAUUGCAGGUAAUGUCAAACUUGUUGUACUUCUAUGGCAUGUGCGGUUUGUUGAAAGAGUGCUUGCUUCAGCGGUACUUCAGUAAGGUAAUAUAGUUUCCAUUCUUUGAGAAUUUUCUUUUUCUGUGUUCGUCUUUUAUACUCUUGUUGUUGACUGGGUUCAUGAAAUUGUUAUUACGUGCAACAGGAGGUCCGUGGUAGUGCAGAAGUUGCAGAGUCUGAUAUAGUUCAAGCAUGUAGAAAAGUAUGUUCUUUAUGUCAAUCAUUCAACUCUGAGAGUUUCAUAUUGUCUAAAACUAGUUUGUCUCUCAUGUUUCAUUCUGUUGGGCAAACUUCUUGUUGUUGUUGGUUCUUCAAACUUUGCGUUUGGUUUGAUAAAGAUGGUUUAUUUGUUGUGUCAGCUACUUGAUGAGAGACAGAGCAACAAUGUUUUGAGGUUCCUCCAAGCCAUUAAUAGGUAAAAUGGUUUUCCUAUCUUAACUAUUCUUUUCCUCUUGUCAACAUAUAUGUUAAAUUUGCAACAUUUAUUCCCCUUUUGCAGAAGACCAGACAUUACUGAAGGGUUAAAAAGGCUCCGGUGUCGUACUCUCAUUUUCGUCGGGGAUAGCUCACCUUUCCAUUCUGAAGCACUCCAUAUGAUAUCAAAAUUGGAUAGAAGAUAUAGUGCCUUGGUUGAGGUAUGACAAUCAAAAGAACAAAAAUAACCUUCCUUUCAGCACGGAAUGUGUGCGAUGCAGAAGCAACUGUGUAGGCUUUGUUAACUAAUUAACUCAACGGUUGGUUCACACAGGUCCAAGCUUGUGGAUCGAUGGUAACCGAAGAGCAGCCACACGCAAUGUUGAUACCGAUGGAGUACUUCUUCAUGGGGUAUGGAUUAUAUAGGCCAUGCCAGUUCAGUGAUAGUCCACGGAGUCCAUUAAGUCCAUCUUGUAUCUCCCCAGAGCUUCUUUCUCCAGAAAGCAUGGGAUUAAAGCUAAAACCAAUAAAAACGCGCAUUUCUUAAACGUCACAAGGACAUGUAGAAUUGGAAAAGAAGAGAGGAGGCUAUGGUUUGCUUGUGAUUCAAAACUCUGUCUGUCUGUAAGUUUUUCUUUUCCAGAUUUUUGAUUUGUUGAAAGGAGCGUUUGUGUAGAUAGGGGGAGAGAAAAAAAAAAAGGGUAUUCACAAUGAUGGGUAAAUAACUAAUAGGGAGAUACACAUUCAUUCUUUUGUAGUCAUCAGACAUAAAAGAGAUCAUAUUCUUGAACUCUGUGGAUUCGUAUAUUCUUCACUCUGACCAAAUAUAUUAAAAUAUUUAUCAAUGAUCUUGAAUUCUGCCUUGCUGCUCCUGCUCCUACUUAUUAUUCUAAACAUGGUGUACCUUCUCUUUGGGGGGAAGAUAUACAUUUUUGUUGGUUUCUAUUUGAUUCUCAAGCUUCAAAAUGUUAUACUCUUAGUUGGUUUUGAUUAAUAUCUAGUUUUUCUGCUAACCACUGACUUUCAAUCUGACCAAUAUACUUAUUUAUCAAUGAUGUUGAACUGAGCUGUUGGCUUGUUGUAAACAAUAGUAGUAUUAUUAUCAUAUUCUUUUUGGCCCCACGCCCUCCACUGUAUUGAAAAAGAGAGAAUGAUUGAAAAGGGCUUAGCUGGGAUUCACGGAAUGAGGAAUUGUAUGCAUAAAAUAUUUAGCGUGAUUCCCGCUAUCUAUUUAAUAACACAAACCAAUUGUGUAACCAAAAGAAACAACCAACAUUCAUGUGCACCGCUCCCCCUUCCCUUCUUUUCCUUAUUCUUCAUUUAUUCUCUUUUACUCAUUUGACUCUUUAUAUGCUCAUCACACCAUCAUCCAACCUUGUUACUUCCAUUAUCAUCAACUUCUAAUUUUCUAAUUUUUGUGUGUAAUUUUUUUAAGAAUAUUUACAAAUUAUAACAAAGUUAUUGAUAAACACUCCUAGUAGAUAUUCACAUAAGUGUCUAUCAAUAUGCUUAAUGAUAUUGACAGAAGUUUAUCAAUGUCUUAUCAUUAUUAAAUUUGUCAUUUAACUUAAAAAUUAAUUACAAUUCUUUUCAGGGAUGUUUGGUUAGAUUUUGGAGACAAGUGAGACUCAAACUGAACGGAUCGAUUUUAUAAAUUAGGGAACUAGGUCAAAGUCCAAUAAAGGGCAAGAUUAAUUGUUCGCCUUUUGAUCGGUUUGAUUCUACGUUGUAUUAGUUUUUUUUUUUUUUGGUUUACUUAUUUUGAAACGAAAUGGUUACCAAACAUGACUUAAGUAAUUAAAGUUUUUCGCAUUUUGUGUACAACAACUAUGAAGUAGAAAAUCAAAUUAUCGUUGAACUAAACUCACUUUUAAGAUAAAAAAAGUUCAUUUAAAUUGAUUUUUUUUCUUUUUCGUACAACAAGUAGAUGUAAAGAAAGAAAUUCGAACAACAAACUUUGUAGUUAUUAAUAUACACGUAAGUACCUGUUGGGUAUUUGAAUUGAUAUCGAGAGGUUCACAUAUUUAAUAAAGUUAACUAAAUAAAUGUUGGUUAGGGAUUGAAUAUGUUGGUUGGAAGAGGAAAGCUUCAUUGCAUUGCAUUUGCAUGUGCAAAUUUAAUUGCUUUUUUGAAAAGGUGAAUUGAAUUUGAAAGUUUGACAAAGUCUAAUGUCCAUUGGCCAAUUUUAUUUCAUAAUUGAAUAUAUGGUUGGUUCAUUUUUUUUAAAAUUUAAAAAGCAAUUUUACCCCAUUGUUUUCUAAUAUAACAAAAUGAAAAAAAAUAUAUAUAUAUAACUGUAUCUAUAAAUAGUUUUAAUAAUUUUAUUUUAAAUAAACUGCAAAUAUAAAAAAAUAUGUGAGUAGUAUAAAUAUGUUUAAUAAAGUUGAAAAGUAUGAACUUAAUGUUAGUCUAAAAUUUCUUAAUUCCAAAUAUGGAUAUUUUGGGCUUAGCUUAAAAACUUAAUUAUCUAUUUUGGAUUUGGAUUAAAAUUUGGUUGUACAGUUUGUAAAUUUUUCUAUUUUUAAAAAUCUUUCAAUUAAUUAAUCUAAAAUUACUUUAUAAUCUUCGCUUUAAUAUGAAUUGUUUUAUUAAAGAAUUUAUAUUAUUUAAAGGCUUCGAAUUUUACUUCAAUUAUUUUUCCGAUUUAUUGGCGGCCGUCGGGUUUCAUCGCCGGCGGCUGACUUGAAGGUGGAAACGACCUCUUGGAUCGCUGCGCAUCCGGUUUAAGUUUCUGGACCGUUUGCGGUGGCCGAGAUGGCUGGGAUUACCAUAGUUUUCGACUUUGAUCGGACGAUCAUUGAUGGGGACAGCGAUAAUUUGGUGGUGACUCAAAUGGGUCUUACAAAUCUCUUCAACAAGCUCUACUCUUCCUUGGCGUGGAACUCUCUCAUGGUUUGUAAUUUGCAUUUUACUUUUUCUACUGUCUCUGCACUUCAAUUUUCAAUUCAUUGAUUGCUAUGGUUUAGAUGGAAUUAGGGAAAUGAAGAAUUGUUUUUAUUUCUACAUGUUAUUAGCAAGGAAUUUUGAGAUUUUUUUAUGUUUAAUUCUACUUUGGCUGUGGAUUGCUGGGAUUGAUUUUGAUAGGAUACCUUGAUAGUGGAGCUCCAAUCACAAGGAAGAACUAUGGGGGAUAUUGCAAAGUGUUUGGAAGGUGCUGCAUUGCAUCCACGAAUUAUUGCUGCUAUUAGAUCAGCUCAUGAUGCUGGGUAACUUUUCGUAUUUGUUUAUGAUUAAAUUGAUGGUCUAAGGGCAUCUUUGAGAGUGAUUUUGUUUUGUCAUGUUUCAAGAACCACUCUUGAACAUGUUUUUAAUCAUUUCAAUGCUUGGUUUUACACUUUUUAAAUGUAGUUUUUAUACCAUUGAAAUGAUUAAAAGAAACAACCAAAUGCCAUCAAGAUUGAUUUUGCUUGUCACAUAGUCGCUAGUGCUACAAUCAAAGAGUUCCUCCUCAAUCCAUCUUUUGGGGAGAAGGAUUUUUUUUCUUUUCCUUUUUGGCUUGUGAAAUCUUAUAGGUUUUGUAGGGUGAAUGGAUUCGUAGGGUGUUUAGGGGAGUGUAUAGGGAUUGUUCGGAGAUUUGGCCCCUCGUUCGCUUUCACAUUUUUUUGUACGAUUUAAUUUUGAAGACCUUUCGUAUUUAUUCUAUAGACACUAUUUUGCACAGUUGGGAGUCUCUUUUUAUAGAGAGAGCCCAUUUUUUGUUAGUUUGUUUUUUGCAUGUUUUUGUAUUCUUUACAUUUUUUUCUUAGUGAAUGUUGUUGAAAGAAAAAAAAAAAACAAUUUCAAAAUCACUCUUUUAUAGAUUGUCCAUGACAUUGCUUAGAAGUGUUUUAAUGACUAACUGGAAGGACAUGGGAUUGAUAUUAUCUCAGGUGUGACUUAAGGAUAAUUAGUGAUGCAAAUCAGUUUUUCAUUGAGACAAUCUUAGAACAUCAUGGUGUGUUGGGAUGCUUUUCCACUAUCAACACAAAUCCUACCUUUGUUGAUGGAAAAGGAAGGCUUAGAAUUUCACCAUAUCAUGAUGAAUCAUCUCCUCAUGGCUGCAAUUUGUGCCCAUCAAAUAUGUGUAAGGUAUUUGUUAGGUUACUCAGUUCCUAAUCCUGCAUUUAUAGAUCUUGCUGUAUGAUUGAAAGUUCCAGUUUAAUUGCUCUGCUGAUUAAGAAAGUUCUUUAGCUGCUGUGUAAAAUAAGCUUUUCCAUUUUAAGGUAUGAGCUUUAGGAUAGGAUAUAUACUACAACCUUGCAAUGUAUGAAUCUGGGAGGACAAUGUGUUUCUUAUAUAAUAAAGAUGAAGACCUCCUUUUGUUUUCUUGAGUUCUAAUGCCAUAUUGUGGAGAUCCUGAGAACAUAUUUUUGCUGCUUUGCUUUGUCUUGUUAAAUUAGGUUCCUUUUCAAGUCGGUUAAAUUACAAGGUUAGAUCAGGCAACACAACUACACUAACACAACCUAAACCUAAGCAACCUAUUCAACAAGUCCACCUAGCCUAAAACUAAAAGAAAAUACUAAUACUAAUGCUAAUAAUAAAAAUAAUAAACCAAACCGAUGAAUCUUCAACAAUUUGAUGGAGUUCUUCAUUUAUCUUCAUACUUCCCCAUCUAAUAUUCUUCUUCUUUGAACGAUUUUUCUAUUCUGUUGACCAUUGUAUUUCAAUAUUUAUGAUGUUGCUUUUUAUAUUGUUUUUCAGUGUUUGUAUUGUAAUUGAUUCUGUUGUUAUUAACUUGAUAUUUUAUGUUUCUGAGGGGAUUGCAUUUCUAUUCGUCGUGCUUUUGCUUUGUAUGUGGGCAUGGGAUUUGUUGAAUAAACUUAUGAGAUCAAACUGCGGAUUCUGUUGCAGGGCCUUGUAGUCGAUCAAAUCCGAGCAUCGAAAGGGGAAAAAAACGAAUUCAUAUACAUUGGAGAUGGAGGGGGUGAUUAUUGUCCAACCCUAAGGCUUCAAGAAGGAGAUCACGUGAUGCCUAGGAAGCUCUAUCCUCUCUCAGAUCGCAUAAACUCCAAUCAAACAAUUGUAAAGGCUAAGAUCCAUGAAUGGAGUGAUGGGAAAGAGCUGGAGAAGAUCUUAUUAAACAUUUUGGAUAUCAAAAAAAUUCAAUUAUGCAAUCCAGAGGUAGUUUAAAUUUAGUGGAAAUUGCUCUUUGGUUGCUUAUAUUCAAUCAUAUUGUCGUGGGAAUAAAAUCUUUAUUAAUGCAGCCAUAACUUUGCAGAUUUAAUCUUUGCUGUCUUUUUCUCACUAUGAGAAAAUCUUAGUUACAUUUUGCUGAUAUUUUAGUUCUAUUUUUUAGUUUAAAUAAACAAAUCUAUUAGACACACGAUCAUUCUCAAUGAUCGGUUGAUCCUUUGUCAUUGAUCAACCUUUCAUAUAGGAAAAAGAGACAUGCAAUUGCUUUCUCAAAAUCUUUUUAUGGCUUAUCUGGCUCAAACGAACGAAAGUGACAAAUAUUUGACAGCAAAACUAAUAUAUUGCUUUCUCAUAGUGUAAAAAUUUACCAUAUUCUUUUGUGAUUACCGUUGUGAUAAAAACUAAAUUUUGUAUCUAAUAAGACAUUAAACUUGCAAUUCUAUAUCCAAUAGGUUCAUAAAUCUUAGAAAUAUCAAAAUGGUUUAGUAUCAUUAGGCAUAGGAUUAAAGUUGAAGGGAUAUUUUCAAAAAUAGUAAAAUAAAUUAAAAUAUUUAAAAGUUAUGACAAAAUUUUGAACUUUAACGAUGAUAGAAAUUUUUAAUUAUCUAUCAACGAUUAGUUAAGAAUUACGUGAGAGAAUGGAAAAGUAAUGAGAAUGCAUUCGUAAAUAAAGAGGAUAAAGAGGAUAUCUUUUCUUUUGGUACCUUUCUCCUUCUCUAUCUUCUCUAUCUUCUCUAAGAUUCCAUUCUUUCUUCCAUUUCUUUUAUAACAUAACAUAUAGCAUAAAGUUAAGUUGGGUGUCAAAGCAAAAGAGAAAUUUGCAAACCCAACUCAUAUUAUGCUCUUUUGACAAUUCUUUUAAAAAACAAAUUACUAUAUAAUAUGGGUUGUUUUUUUUUAUUUGAAAAAGUAGUCUUUGAUAUAAAGUGAAGGUUAUAAUCUUGUAUUUGAAAUGCCUACUUAUGGCAUUUAUUUCUUUAAGGAGGAAAAAGGUGUAAUUUAGUUAUUCACAACAAUAAGUUAUCCAAAAUUAUGUUUUUACUAAUAAAAAUAAACAACUCUCUUUUGUAUUACUUUUAAACAACUUUCUAUGCUUCCUAUACUUGAUUGCUACUUAUUACCAUUUAUUUUUAAAGUAAUGCAACUUUUCAUAUAUAUAUUACUCAAAAAAAAUUAAAAAUAUUUACAAAAUACAGUAUAAUAGCCUAAUCUAUUUGUGAUAAACGAAAGUGAUCGAUAUAGACUACUAUAUGUGUCUAUUGUUAGAUACAAGUAAUAAUCUAUCGUGAACUAUUUUCAUGAUAGACAUAAAUAAUAGUCUAUUUUGGUUUAUUGCAAACUAUCUUGAUAUUUUACUAUAUUUAAAAGUAGUCGAAUAAAGAAAAAUAACAUUUUCAAAUAUAGUAAAAUGAACAAAAAUAUUUUAGAGGUAUAAAAAGGACCAUGUAACAUUUAGAUUCAAAAUAUUUGAUAUAUAUAGCAAAAUAUGCUCUUUUUUUUUUCUUAUAUUUUUGUAAAUAUUUUCAACUGUUUUUCUAUUUACAAUAAUUCAAAAAAUAAUGGCAAGAAAUGGGCAUUUUAAAAAGUUAGAAAGUAAAUUAAAAUAUUUAAUAAAUUUUUUUAAUUUUAUCAAUUAUAGCCCACUUCUAUUACUCUUUAUCGGUGUCACCAAUACAAGAAUAUCACUAGCUAUUAAAUAUUUGUUAUUUAUAAAAUCUAAAUUUUACUAUAGUUCGUAAAUAUUUUUUAAAAUUCGCUAUUUUUAGGGAGAAAAGAAAGUUACAUUUUGUAAUUUAGGUGUUAGCAUAAGAAAUAAACAAAUGGAUUGAAAAACAAAAAAAAACUUUGGACUCCUUCUUUGACCGGUCUCCGAUUUACAGCCAUGGCAUGAACCAAAUUCACAAACGCUUCCUUCCUCUUCUUCCAUAACCAACUGUUUUGAUCAUACCCAAAUCAAUUCUCCAACACUCUUUCCCUCUUUGAUCUCUCUUUUUCUCCUACCAAACUUGCUGAUCAAUGGCGAAAAGAGAGACGAAAGAGAAGUGGGUAUGAUCAUGGAUGGAGUCAUAGAAUCCAUGCCUCAAUAUGCCAAGGAACUGGUUGCCGGUGGCCUCGCCGGUGGAAUUGCCAAGACCGUCGUCGCUCCACUUGAGCGUGUCAAGAUUUUAUUCCAGGUGAUUUUUCUUCGUUUUUGUUUGCUUGAUCGUGUUUUUUUUUCUUUCUUAAUCUCGUCUUGUAAGUGAUUCAAUUGUGACUUUUUUUGGGAAUCGAGCUCAAUUCUCUAGUGUUUCGAAAUUAGUUGCAUAAUGGGUGUCUCUUGAGGUAUUUGGCUUUGGAGUUCAUGAAUGUAUGUUUUCUUUUACUUAUUCUUUGUUCUCUCUUGGAAAUUAGAAUGAGAUUCUACAAGAAUGAGAGAUGUUGUGGUGCAUGUUUUUUUUUGGAAUUUAACUUUUAAUUUACCAGGAAUAAUGGGUUUCUUAUAGAUCAGUAAAAGAUGCAACUCCCAUUAAUUUUUUUUCAGUUCUGAUUUUGGAAAAAGCAAGAUGCUUUGGAGUCCAUAACUUCAUUGCAUUUUACUUAAUACAUGGGAAUAGAAUUCCCCACUGGCUAUUAUGAAUCCUUUUUGUUUGUUUUGUUCUUGAAUGACAAAGAAACUUCAAUCUUAGGUAAUAAAGUAAAAGAUGCUCAAAAUGAGGGGAGCUCAAGUCUAGGACCAAUGAGAUUACAUGGAGACUCUUUUAAAUUGGCUGAAGUGAAAAAUAAUGGCUUAAACUCUACCUUAUUAGUGGAAUAUCUGGAGGAAAUUUUUAUUAGCAAUUUUCUCUUCUUUAACAUCUAUAAAGGUUUCUGUACCUAAAGAACCAUCAGUGACAUAAAAUGGAAAAUACAGAGUUGAUUGAUAAAAUCUUGCUCUAAGGAAAUAUUUGAGGUAUCUAUCUAUUAGAUAAAUCCAACGUUUCUCCUAAAGAAUUAUUGUCAAGUGAUAUGAAAGGAAAAAAUGAUUUGGAUCUCAAGGCUAUAUAAUUCACACAGCUCACAUAUUUAGAGGUUGAGAAAUCAAGAAAAGGAAGAGAGAAAUCCUCUAGCAUACCUUUAGUGUUGUCUUCCAAAUGAAGUACUUGACUUUCUUUAGAUUCUUCGGAUUCUAAAGAAGCUUGGCCUUUCCUUGAGAAAUGGAUUUUGAUCUACCUACCAAAGUGUUAUUCAUCGAUUUACUGGAGGACCCCUAGGGUCUGGAUGCCAAAGCUUUGAUUCUAAACUCAGGGCUUUCAAGGGAAUUCCCCAAGGAUUCUAAAAUGAAAGAGAGCACCAUUCUCUUUUUUUCUUCGAGAAACAAACCACUUUUCAUUGAAGAUAUGGAAAGGUACGAUUAACUAAAAGAGGAUAAACGCCCUGUGAGAUUAGGAAAAAAAAUGCUUUAGUUGGCAGUAAUUUUGAAAGAGUAUUUCCAAAAGUUACCGGAGCAAACUGAGUAUAACUAAAUAGUGCGGAUUAGUUUUUCAAGAUCUGCCUCUUAUUCUAUCUAAAGAUCGACCCAACAUAAAAAGAAAAUGAGGAAGUAGGUUUCUGUUGUAUAUGUUUUGAGAAGCCUAAAAGUGGAUCUUUAUUUUUCAUUGAUAAUGUAGAAAAAUCUGCUGAUCAAGAACAGUUAUAGAGCAAAAGUUUACAUUUAGUCUCAAAACCCUUCUUUUAAAGAACAAAGCCAAUAUUAUCCUUCUCCACACCAUCAUACGCCUUCUCAAAGUCAAUUGACGAAUCGGUCCCCGUGCUUUUGUAACUUCUCGCAGUUAUGGUUGCAUUGGCAAUGAGAAUGAAGGGCAUUAACUAUAUGUCUAUCCCACAACUAAAGUCUUUGAUUUUCUCCACAACUAAAGUCUUUGAUUUUCUCCACAGCUAAAAUCUUUGAUUUUCUUGUUCAUUCUCAGUUAAUAUUGGUAUAUCAGUUUUGCUCAUCUCAUUUUCAUAAUAAAUAUAGGAUUAACCAUCUAGUAUACACUGUUCAUAUUUAAUGCAGUUCUUUCUUUUUCAAUUUGUUUAAGCAAAGUUUCCCCCCAGAUUUUUCAAGCAUGAAUUUCCCUUUCCAAAGCAUGUACUGUGGAAUUAACCAGCUGUUAAGCACUUUUUAUCAUUUUCGUUUUUGGAUGUAGAUGUUUUUGUUAUAUUUUAAAUAAGGUUAAGAUUUGAUCUUCGAUAUAUGAUUCUGAAGUCCACCCAUUUUUUCUUUUUCACGGUGAAGUAUUUUCCUAGAAGUUAACAUCUGUACUUAUUUUUCAACUUGUUAGACCAGAAGAGCAGAGUAUCAAAGCAUAGGACUACUUGGAUCUAUCAAGAAGAUUUCUAAGACUGAAGGUUUUCUGGGUUUCUACAGGUGGGUACAUAAAGUGCUAUAAUUUUUUUUGAGCUGAGGCCCCACCCCUCCCCCAACAAAUGACAUAUUAGUGGAUUUGAUCACAGAGGCAACGGUGCUAGUGUCGCUCGGAUUGUUCCUUAUGCAGCGCUGCAUUACAUGGCUUAUGAACAAUAUCGAAGAUGGAUUAUCCUUUCUUUUCCAAAUUUUAAUAGAGGCCCCGUACUUGAUCUUUUGGCAGGAUCAUUUGCUGGAGGAACUGCCGUGAUUUUUACCUAUCCUCUGGACUUGGUUCGGACUAAGUUAGCAUUCCAGGUGAAGACUAAAAACAUAAGCGUCCCUUCCCAAAACAAAAACGUAUACAAAAUUGUAAACUUCAUUAUAACUAGAUUCAUGAAAGCUAUCUUUAGAUGCGAUAGUCUUGCUCCCGCCAGAAUUGAAUAUGAAAAGAGUAGUAUCAUUGAACUUUGCCGUGAAUAAAUAUAUGGAUUUCUCCUUACACACUACCUUCCUGUGUGAACAUUCCAAUCUAAUUAGAUCUGAUACUGAUAGUGCAGGUUGUUGCUCCGUCAAAGUCAAGUAUUCAUGGGCUAGUAGUCCCGAGCAUGUAUAUAGAGGGAUUUCUGAUUGUUUCUCAAAAACUUUUAAGGAGGCUGGACUUAGAGGUCUCUACCGUGGUGUUGGUAUGCAUUUCCAAUUUGCUUAUAUAACUUUUGGCAAUCUACUUUUCUGGGACUUACUUUUCACUUUGCGAGUUUUCCAAUUAAUACUCAACUUUCGUUGCCAGCCCCAUCACUUUACGGGAUUUUUCCAUAUGCUGGUUUGAAGUUCUACUUCUAUGAAGAGAUGAAGCGGCAUGUGCCGGAGGAACAAAAGAAAAAUAUUAUGGUCAAGCUGGUAUGUGGAUCGGUUGCGGGUCUGUUAGGCCAGACCUUUACAUAUCCUCUUGAUGUGGUUAGGAGACAAAUGCAGGUAAUAAGUUGCACCAAAAUACAUGGAAGAAAUAUAUUAAAAUGUUUGAAUUCUGAACUAAUAUGGAGCUAUGUGUGAAAUUCGCCCAAACAGGUUCAACGUCUACUAGCAUCCAACAAUACAGAGAUGAUGGGAACAUUUGAAACCCUUUCUUUGAUAGCUAGAAAACAAGGUUUUAAACAGCUGUUUUCAGGUCUAAGCAUCAACUACUUGAAGGUGAGAAAUCAAUUCCUUUACUUAAUCUCCUUCCACAUUUGUAGUUUAGUGUCUAAGCUAAGUUGUGUAUGUUUCAGGUUGUUCCAUCAGUAGCAAUUGGGUUUACUGUAUAUGAUGUAAUGAAAACAUACUUAAGAGUUCCAUCCCGAGAUGAAGCUGUGGUAGAAGUGGUAACAAAUAAAAGAAACAUCCAAUCGUCCUCUCUUAAUACAUAACAAGUAUUCUUUUCCCAUUCAAAACAUGCCAUAUUCUAGUAUCAGAAUUCAUUAUGUUAGCCUUGUUAUUAUUUGUAUAUGCAUUCUUUCAGCCUGUUUAGACAUUAGAGCUCAUGCUAGUUACAAGGCAAAAACAUUUGUUAUUCUUAGGUCUCCAAAAAGUCCAAGGUAACUGUCAAACAAGUAGAAUUAGCACAAGGAAGGGUGUACAUUUAGCUGGGAUGUCUUGUGUAAACAAUUGAUGGUUUGAAGGUAACUAAUAAAAUAUGAGUUGAUUCUUCAUAUAUUCUACAUUGUGUACGACCUUACGUGAACAGGUAAUGUGCUAUAGGUUGCAACUGUCUUCUUGAGUUCCAAGAAUGAUUUUCAUAUAUUAUAUAUUAAGUGGAAAUGGUUGACUCCUUUCAAGGGAGUUUACAUAAGAAACAAUAAUUUCUCUGCUUAGAAAUUGAUUUGUUCAUUUUACUUUUCACUAUGGUCUCACCCAAUUCAAUAGAAAACUGAAUCGUUGAAGGGAACAUACAUCUAAGCAGGAAGCUUGAGUUGCAUAUGGAACAUAAUGGACUAAGUUAUGCUUCACUAACAGUUAGUUUCACAGUUCGACAUUGCCAGCAAUUGAGAUGAGAGUAUAAUGCAAACUUCCCUUUGAGUUUAUUUUACUUUCUAUCCUUAUGGUGUAGUCUAAUUCAAAUUAUGCAAGGCAAACAAACACCAAAAUGAGUACCAGGGAGGAACGCAAUAAUAUAAUUAAUAAAUUGUUAAUGGUCUAAAGAUACAAGCUCUUGUUGGAAAAAAGAAAGUAGACUCAAAUUUUGUAAGGAGACUUAUCUCUUCUGUGUUCAUCAAGGCAACAAGCAACUAUAAGUUCAAGAUACAAUGAUAAAUUAGAAUAAGUACAUAUCAUACAACAAAAACAUGUACCCUAAGUUACACAAGUUUGACCUGUUUGCUGAAGUUGUUCACCAUGUAGCCAGCGGAGUCCUGGUAACAGAUGGUUUUAUUCUGAAUUGUGACGCUAUGAAUUUCCUCUUGAUGAAUAAGGAAGGAGAAUUGCCAAGUUGGUUUACGGAUAUUAUCACAAACUUUUAGCUGGAUUAAAAAUUUAGCUGACGGAACCG